AGCAUUCCAGCCUUGCUCUUCGGAAUAACCACUUGUCCGACAGCAGCUCCUUGGUACAAAAACGUGACAGUGCUAGCAUCAAACUUGUAAGGACCCCAGUUUGUGUUCUUGAUCUUGAUUUGGGUUGUGAAUUUCGUGUCGAAUGAAGGUGUUGCCGGGAAGGAGUUGAGUUCUUGGAUGUUGAUGUUGCCUAGCCUGACCUUCGGGGUCUUAACUUUCAUAACAGUAAGACUAAUCACGGUUAUGACAAUAAUUUGAAAUACAAUGAAAAUUGCAACAUAAAUGGCUAACUUGAUUCUCUUCUUGCGUUUGAGCUCGUCAGCUGAUUGCAAAGACUCAGCAUCACUUCUUUGGUAACCAUUGGUUGCGGGGACUGAAGGAUAAACCUGUUGGGUCUUAUCAGCCAUCUUAAUUGCUUUUGCUGAAUAAAAGCUUCGAAAGAAAAAUGAUCUGUUUGGUUUCUCUCUUUUUCUAUGUUAAAAUAUGAACUGAUGAGCAAAUGUGUUGCUUGUGUGAAUGUUUGUUGUGUGGAGCUUGGUAUAUAUAUAGUGUUUUGGAUAGUGAGUUAACUAGAGGCAUCAGCGGUGUUAAUAAUUUUCUGGAAAAUGGAACCAUAACGUGCAAAUAAUUUCUUUGUAUUUUAUUGACUUGUAGUUGUAGACUUGUAACACUCCAGUAGAUGAUUGAGAAUAUGAUUAGAAACCUGUUCAUUAUAGUAUUAUAUAAUAGGGAUUAGGCUUAUUUGUUGAUUUGUUCCUUUAAACUGUCAUGUAAUCCCAUUUUAAUCGCUGAAAUUGAUUUUGUCUUCCUUUGCCUCCUAAAACAACUAUUUUCAUCUCAUUUAGUCUCGAUUCAUCCAUUUUUAUACAUUCCAUCAAAUAAACGUUAAAUUAGAGAGUAGUGUGGACAUUUCAUUAUUGAAAGUGAAAUAGCUCUUUGCCUCCAACAUAUAUGCCCCCUAAAACAAUCUCACAACUCUAAUUCAAACUCAUGUCCAUCUCUCUUUCGGAUUGGUGCGAAGCUGUAGCCAUUGGCAAAAGUAAAUAAUAGGUUGUGUUUUAAAAUCGAAUCCAACGGCUUCAACUACAACUCUACACCAAUCUGCCAAAAAAAAAGGCGCAAAAGAUACGGAUGGGGGCUUGAAUUUGAGUUAUAAAAAAAAUGGAGUUUGGAUUGUUUUCGCAAAUAAGUUGGAGGCAAAGAGUUGUGUCAAAAAUAAAAUGUCGAUACUAAUCUUUAAUUCAACAUCUAUUUGAUAAAAUGGACAAAAAUUAGAUGAACUGAGAAUAAUGAGACGAAAAUAGAAAUUCAAAUGGUCGAAAUGAGAUAAAACUAAUUCUACAAAAUAAAAUAAGACUAAAUGUCAAUUUAUGAAGCAAAAUCAAAUAAUAAACCAAUAAUAGUAUAUGUAUUCAACACAAAACAAAUAAGGGUUUCUCCAAGUGUGACAGAGUCAAAGCUAGAAGUAGAUAUUUUUAUUUUCAUUUUUUAGCUAUUUAAUUAUUUCCACUGUAAGAAGAAGAGUACGGGCUGGUUUGGUAUUGCUGUGCUUUGAAAAAAAACUGAUGUGAGAAUAAGCGGCUGUGCUGUGAGAAUAAGCGGAUGUGAAAUAAAUCAGCAGAGUGUUUGGUAAACUUUUUUGUAAAAGUGCUUUUGGAAAAAAAAAGCAGCCUGAUAGUGGGUCUUUUCAUUAAAGGAGCACUGUAGCUCCAUGUGUUUUGAAAAAAAACCAGUUUUCCAAAGCUGCAAAUAGCAACUUCAGUUUUUUCCUUUGAUUUCAGCUUAUUCUCACAGCAGCUUCCAAAAUAAGCCUUUUUUUUUUUCAGUUUACCAAACAUCUAAAACCCUCAUAGCUUUUUUUCAUGGGUGCUUUUUUUUUAAGCACUUCACUCUCAAACCACCCUUACGUCAAGUGAAUUACUAUUCUACAGGGAACCUAUUAGACCAUCUAGAAGGCGAGUAAGUCAAAGACUGCUAACCGUCUGCGCUUAUGGUCUUUACCUUAGACCAUCUAGAGCACUACAAAAACAUGUAUCUGGCACUGGUGGCAACUAGAGCACUAUUGGUCCCUCCACAUCAUAAUAUAUGCGUUAACAAAAAAUACACGACCGGGCAGGGUAUUAUUUUUCUUUUCCUUUCGAUGAUUUCAUCUCAAUAUGUUUUAUAUAUCCUAUUAGCCAUGUGUCCACACGCUAUGCGUUGUGUUAUUAAAUUUAAUCUAUCAAUUUGCUAUGACUUAUAUUUAUAUCAAUUUUUUUAGGCAAAUUUUUUUUAAUAAAGAAAAUUGGCUUUGAAGAAGUUGGGGUGGGUGUGGAGGUUUUGAAAGUGGGGACGUGGGCGGUUGAGUUUUAUUUUUAUUUCUGUUUAUUCUUUUUUUUUAUUUGUUAUAGUAGUAUUUUUAUUUGUUAUAGUAUUUUUAUUUGUUGUUUGACAUAAUUAUCCAUACUCAAUUAACUAAUUUUUUUUUUUAAAUUUGGUUAUUUGUAGAGGGGUAUAAUUGUAUUUUCAUGCGUUUUUGGUUGAGAAGAGGUAUUGUCUUAGUAACAGUACGGUUGGUGAGGCUUCAAUUAGUUAACACAACUAGUAAGACUAGACUAUCUCUAAUUCAAGGAUAGGAAAUUACAAAAGCACCAUAUUUUUAUUAUUAAUAUAUAUGAGGUUAGUCCGUUUUUCCAUCCAAGAUAAUGGACCUGUUAUCUCCACCUCUAAGACCAUCUCUGUAACAUCCCACAUCGCCUAGGGGAGCGAUCUUUAAAUGUAUAUUCUCAUUCCUACCUAGCACGAGGCAUUUUGAGAGCUCACUGGCUUCGGGUUCCGUCGGAACUCCGAAGUUAAGUGAGAAGGGGGCUAGAGCACUCCCAUGAUGAGUGACCCACUGGGAAGUUGCUCGUGAGUUCCUAGAAACAAAAUCGUAAGGGCAUGGUCAGGGUCCAAAACGGACAAUAUCGUGCUACGGUGGUGGAGCGGGGCCGGGAAGUGGUCCGUCCCGGGCCGGGAUGUGACAAUUGGUAUCAGAGCCAAUCCCUGGCUGGAAGUGUGCCGACGAGGACAUCCGCCCCGGGCCGGGAUGUGACAAUCUCCAACCUUUAUAUUAAAACCUAAAAUUUUUAGCCUAGAAAAUUUAGGUUUUAACCCAGAAACAGGUUUUUUUGCUCCAACCCUUUUGGGUUAAAAUUUUAGCCCAAAUUAUUAACGAAUGAAUUUAGCCUAAUUUUUUUCUUGAAGUAACUUUUUUAAAAGAAAAAUUUAUGUAGACUAUCCUAAUUUAAUUUUAUGAAUAUUUUAACGUAAAAAUAUUUAGAUUCUGACAAAUAUUGAAAAAUCACUAACCGACACCAUGAAACUCGUUAAACACUAUGAAAAAACAUAAAACACAUAAAAAAAAAAAUUUAAUUACUUUAGCCGUUAGAUUUAAAUUUGGACCGUUAAAUAUUUUUGUUUUACCGUUGAAUUUCAUCAAAUUAAAUCUUAACCGUUGGAUUCAAUGAAUUUAUAAAUAUAAAACUAAAAAAAAAAUAUACAUAUAUGGUGGAUCAACCCCACUAACCCUGGGGGGAAUUCUGGGCAGUUUGUUAAGCUUUUUGUAUUUUAAGGGGAAAGAGAGCAGAUCUCCUCUACAAGAAUAGAGAGUAAGAAAGUCUCUUUAAUCUUUCUUGUUUGCUAACAAUUUUGGAAUUAAUUUUUGUAUUAUCUAUCUUUUUUCUGACAAAGGUUUUGAUGUAAAAAAAUUUCAAAUUUCAAAAAAAAAAAAAAAAUUUAUUGAUUACACACAAAUGGAUGGGUAUAUUAUAGAGUUUUGGUAUUAGAUCUGAUUUGGAAUAUUAAUAAUAUUAUUUUGACGAUUAUAUUUAAAUCUAAGUUGUAAACACCCGUCCCUAAUUUUACAAUUUUAUUAAUUUUGAAAGAGUGAAUUGACGAAAAUGCCCCUAAUGGUGAUGUGUUAUUGAUUUUUGUUGACUGUUAUUUCAUGAUGCGUAUGAGCUAUUAUUUUACCGUAUUCUUGAAGUACUCAAUGGUACGAUCGCGUGGGCACAAGCAAAUUUGAACUUGAAGCUACGAUGGAGAUUGUACGAACUUACGAAAGCAAAGGGUAUUUUAGUAAAUUCACUAUCCUAUAUAAUUGGCCUAAGUUAUUUUAUUAUUUUCCUUUCAAAUUUUGUUUAGUACCCAUGCCCACCACUCACUCUCUUCCACGUGGGAUUUUCCUCCUCACACAUCCGGACCCCCUCUCUCUUCUAUAUUUUUUUCCCUCACAUCUUUCCCACUCUAACUUUCUCCCUCUCCGGAAAUCACACAUCACCACCUCCGCCGAAGCCACGCGGUGGAGACCGCACCAACCACCACCACCUUAAGACCCUCCUAGUCUUGAUCUCAAACUAGGCCGAGGCCCUUCUCUUUCAUUCUCUCUCUACACAAUGGCACCAUCACUGUGCAUAUUUUCCUCUGGCGAGCUUUUGAACUUCCGACAAUGGUAAGUUCCAAAACCACCUAAAAUUUCUUGGAUCGUGUUUUGGUAUAUGUUUCUAGCUUUUCGAAGGUCUUUAGCUUUGGUGCAGAAAUCAACUCGAGGAAACUUCCCUAGUUUUUCAACGAGAGCCACGAUUUUUGGAGGUGAUUUUCAGGCCUCUCUAGCCACCUAUUUUACUUGGGUAAGGUAGAUUCAAUUUCCUCGCCCUUUUUAUCUUUAUUUUGGUUUAAUUUUGGAGUGAAAUGGCUAAAAAUCGAGCUCGAUCACAACUCCAAAAGUUUCCCAGCCAAACCAGCCCGAAGAAAACGAAAAGGUCCAAAUCCAACUCGGACCCACGAGUCUGACCCCUGUCCAUUUUUGAAAUCAAAGGGAAUAUUCCUUUAGAUAUUCUGUUAACUCCGAGAUAACUUUAACGGAAUAUCUGUCUGAGGGUGGAAUAUUCCAUUCAAGUUAACUUUUGACAAUUAGUUGACUUUUUCAAAAUUUUCUCGAAAAUCCUUCAAGGUUAAUUUCGAUGCCCUAAGUCCCUUUUUGACAUCCGUUUAGUGAAAUUUCAAAGUUUUAACAUAGUUGACAGUCAGGGUGGCCCGGUUGACUUUUUAGGGUUGACCGUUGAUUUUUCGUUGUCUUUUUACGAAAAUUGCCCAUGACCCUACGUAGCGUAUUUCAACGCCCUAAUUUCAAAUAUGCACUCCGUUUUCUCAAAUUUAAUCGUUUUAGUUGAGUUUUACUAAUGAGACCCAAUAUUAUUCUUAGGUGUGAUUACUAUCAGAGACUCCAACUUCUCCAAUCCGAACGGCUGUGACCUCGUAAGUAUCUGUGAGUGGUCUUUUCUUUUAUAUAGCUUAUAUAUUAAUUUAGUUUCCAUAUAUAUAUAUAUAUAUAUAUAUAUCUAUAUAUAUAUAUUUAAUAAUGAAUUUUCUACGUGAUUGCCAUAAUUAAAUUAAUGUUUAUAAGAAAUGUCGUAAUGUUGAGAAUUAUGAAAUUAUUUUGAAUCCUACAAGAUGCAUAUGUAUGCGUACUAUUAUGGGAUGCCUUUAUAUAUGCAGCAUGAAUAGUGCUAUGUUGACUAGAAUUACCGAUUUACUGUUGCAUGAUCAUAUUUACAUUAUCUGCUCAUCGUGUGCUGUACUGGUGUUAGUACUCAUCCGAGAGCUAGGGCUAGUCUUUCACGUGUAUGUUCACAUUGCACUGUUUGCUCACUUUGGAUCCAUUGUAGUUGUCAGUCUUGUCCUAGAUUGCUAUAGGCAAUUAUGGCUCGUAUGUGAUGUGUAUAGCGCUAGCCUUCACGUGAUUGUGGUACCAUAACGUACAUCUACAUGAACUCGUGUGUCAGCAUGUGUUAAUGAGCACUCAAUAUGAUAGGUUUGCUUAUUUGAGAUUAUGUGAUUACGGACGUCAUGUGUUUAUUUACAAAAGUGUGUGGCGUAUUGCAUUCUUGAGAUACUGCUGGCUAUGGUAAGUAUUUUCAUACUAUACGUAGUAUGUUAUAUUUAAAAACUAUACUUGUUUUAUGACAAAGAGUUAUUAUAUUUUCGAAAAGGUUUUACAAAACUUUAUUUUUAGGCCCACUCACCCAUUUCGACCCUCCAUGUUUAGUAGCAGAGCUUUUGUGACGACGAGGAUUCUGUGCUGGUAAAGGUGAUUACCUUUGAUGGUAUAAUUUUUAUCCUACCUUUACUGUACUUUUCUUAUGAUCUGACAUCACAUGUGAAUUGGGUUCAAUCCUGCUCACAUGCGCACUCUUACAUUUAGGCACUUUAGAUUUAAAUUUAUUCACUUUUUUCACAUCACUAUACUUUAUGAUUUCGUCACCUUCCUGAUGUCAGCCAACACAGCUCGAUUCGAAGUCUAAGUGGACAUUCCGGAUCAGGAUGUGUUAUAAGCCGUUGAAUCUUUUUUAUUACCGUUAAAAUUUAUUAAAUUGGAUUUGAGCCGUUGAAUUUAAAAGUAAUCUAAGAGGCGCGACAACUGAUAGAUGUUAACGGUCAUGAAAUCACAUUGGCACAUUUCAUCCUACCGUAUGCUGCAGCAAACUAGAUCAUCCCCACGUCAGUAGAACUGACGCGUGGGCCCUGCCUGUCCCCAUUUUUCACAUGGGUUUGUUGCAACAAUGGGCCGCAUUUUCCACCCAAAAUCUUAUUGACCCGGGAUGGAUACACAACCCAAAUACCAACUCUCAAUCCCAAAAUCUUGUUUUUCCCACCCCAAAAUACACACCUUAGAGAGGAAAUAUACCCAAAUUAUGAGAUUUUAUUUUCCCACACUUGGGUUAGAGCCAGUCUAAAUAGACUCCAAAAACUGCUUCUUCAUGUUUUUGUUAACUUAGCUACUAAAUAGACUCCAAAAACUAUUUUGUCCAACGAGUUUAACUUAAGCAUAAACAUUUUCAAGAGACUCCUUAUAGUUUCGUUACUUUAGCUAGUAAAUAAACUCCAAAAAUUGUUUUGGUUAGCCAGUUAAACUUAGCAUCAACAACUAUUCUAACAAACUUUGAAUAUUUUAUUAUUCUUGAAAAUAGUUUAAUAUUUUUAAUUUUACCUCAAAAAUAUUUUUAGUGCUUUCUUUAAGUUAAAUUCUCUCGCCUUUAGCUAAAUUUAGCUAGUUAAUUACUAUUUCUGUAAUUUAGGUUAAACGCUUACGGAAUGACUAUUCCUAUAAGUUAAAUUCAUAGACUAGUGACACAUUCUUUAAGGAUGCAUCGUAGCAUGAAGCGUGACAGAAAUAUUGUUGCUCAAGACAUGAGCUCUGCUUACACCAUUGAUAUGAUCGUUGCCAUGUGGAUUCUCCGGCACAUCAAGAGGGUUUAGAUUUUAGCCUCAUGAUGUGCCACUAAUCUUAUUAUGCUUCCCUGUUUGCUUAUUCUGAUGCUGAUUGGAUGAGUUGUCUGCAUACACUACGUUCCACUACCAGUUAUCUUGUCCAUCUUGGAUCCAAUUUCAUCUCAUGGUGUUCCAGGGAAAACAACUGACUAUUUCUCUAUCUAGUGUGGAAUCGGCCAAGUAUACACUUGCUCAUGCAUGCCAAGACGACAUUAAUUUUACUUUGUUUUUUGUGAACUUGGUGUUUGGUUGUCCUUCCCAAUUCCCCAUUGUGACAACCUCAGUGCCACCUACCUUGUUGCCAAUCUGGUUCAUCAUGCCCACAUGCCACAUUAAACAUGAUUACCACUUUGUUCGUGAAAAAGUAGCUUUUGGGUAGUCAUUGGGUUUGUUAUAGCUCCUCUGCUAAUCAACUCGCUGACCUUCUCACCAAUGCUCUUCACAAGCCAUGCCAUGAGCUUCUCUGUUUCAAACUCGACCGAAUGACUUGUCCAGUUUGCGUAGGAGGACUGCUACAAUUGAAAUAGUAUCUCCAAAUUCUUCUCCAUUAUUAUAGUUUUCCUUAUAUAAUUGUAAAUCUUAAUUGUACUUAUUAUAUUCUUGCCAUAAUAAGUUAGAAGCACGGCAUAUAUAUAUAUACAGAUUGCUUAAGGGAAGGGAUCCCUAUUUUUUGAAAAAAAUGGGGAUCCCGUGUGGGGCCCACUUCACAUCGAAUUUCAACGAUUCGAACCGUCUAUUUUGUUAGUCUCGAUUCAUAGAUCAUCCUCGCAAAAAUUCAAUUCAAUCCGAAACCAUUUGCCUAUUUAAUUAUCAAGAUCAAAUUUCAUUGUUUCUUAUAUAACAAAGUAUUCGUUCAUUUCCUUGAACCCAAUUAGAUGUCUUAAACAUUUCCGAUUUAGCUAAUAUUUUAUAAGGAUGAUCUAUGAAUCGAGACUAACAAAAUAGACGGUUCGGAUCGUUAAAAUUCAAUGUGGAGUGGGCCCCACACCUAAUCCCCAUUUUUUUCAAAAAAUGAGGAUCCCUUCCCUUAAGCAAUCUGUAUUGUAACAUAUUCACAAUAAACAGUACAAAGAAUCAUAAUUCAACACGAUGAUUUUUUACUGAAACAUAGAAAACAAGACAAAUAAAUGGGCAUAGCAACACUUUUUGUGUUUAUAUAACCUUGUUGAAUCAGUGCUAUGUUUUAAGUGGCCUGUUUAGAAGUUCCCUUAAUAUUAAAGAUAUAGAAAGUUCGAAGUUUUUUUUUUUAUUAUUGAAUUUGUAAUCGUACAUCAAAGUCCUCGUUUGGUAUUGCUGUGCUUUGAAAAAAAAACUGCUUCUGGUAUACUGGGAGAAUAAACAGCUGUGAAAUAAAGCAGUAGUGUUUGAUAAACUUUUUUGUAAAAGUGCUUUUGGAAAAAAAAAUAAGCAGUAUUAUAAUGUUUAGUAAACUUUUAUGUAAAACAGCUGUGACUGUGUGAAAUGACCAAAAAAGGUAUAACACUAGAUGUGCCAUUAAUUUAAUUUUCUUAACAAAUAAAGGUGAGUUAUUAAAUAUACUUUUUUUUUAAAAGAAAAUUAUUUAUAAACUUUAUCUUAAACAUAUAAUCCAACUUUUAACAAGAAAUCAUAAUCCAACGUCAACAAGAAAUCAUAAUCCAACGUCAACAAGAAAUCAUAAUCCAACAUUCAACAUACAAUCAAACAUUUAUGUUGUUUCACAUUUUUAGCUUUUUUCAAAGCUCAUUUUCGCUGCUUCACGUUUUCAGCUUUUUUCAUCAAAAACUGUGAAAAUAAGCUGUUUUUAAGUGUUUACCGAACACGUUUUUGAGCUUAGCUUUAUUUUAUACUCAUUUUUUUUAUAAAAGUACCUCCGUACCAAACCAGUACUAAGUCGAUCGGAACUUGUUUGGUAAAAUCACAGGCGGAGCUAAUGCAUGCUUACAUUGCCUAGUAGGGGCAGCUGCGCUCACUUGGAAAAUUAGUGUAGGCUUUGUCCCAUAAUUUGGAGUGGCAAAUUGAAAAUUAUAUAACCUGUUAGGAAAAGCAGCGAGGAAGCCACAUGUGUGGCCCAGAUUAAAAGAAAGAAGAUAAAGGAGGGAAAUGGAUGGAUGGCAUAAAAAGAAGAGGAGAGAAAGGAGAGAGACGCCCAAUCAGGAAGCAAAAAAAGGAAAGAAAGGACGGGGAACAGGCAAAUCAGACAAGAGAGAAAGGAGGGAAAAUGAGGGAGAGCAUAGCACUAAAUCUUCUUGACCCGUUUCGACCCGUGCGACCCGGCGCUAUUGAUUUCCGAUGCCUUUCAAGGUGUUUUUCGAGCUUUCCUCAACCAACCACCACCUAAGAAUAACUACAUGGCCUUCCCUCUCCCAUUUACACCUAAAUUCCAUUUCGUUUGACCCCCAAAUCACUAAGAACAAACUGUACAGGUUCAUGGGUGCACAGCGGCGAAUCCAUUAGUCCUGUAAUGAUUUCCUUCGAUCUCCACAACCAUUACACUCUCCUUGAACCCAAGAACAAAGCCCAAACAACCUUGGAGGUGGGAGAGCACCGGAGGCGACGGAUCGAAACCACCCAUUUCUAAGGUUUCCGGCAGGUUCGUGGCGAAUUGAGGCUUUUCCCAGCCAAAUUAGUCUUAGUCACAUGUAUGAAAGUUGCUCCACUCAUUGAGAUCUUCAUUCUUGUAAAAUUUGGGAAUUUUGGAGUUGUUCGAUUUUCUAGUGAAUCGAGGUGGUCAGCCGCCACGCAUGGCAGUGCGUGAGGGAAAACCCCAAGGUCCUUCCUUAGGUUCCUCGACGUGCCAAAUCCGAAUCCACCAUCCGUUUUCCCAAAUUCUAAUGUUUUAGUAGAGUUUUACUCAAGGGUCCAUAAUUGUGUUUAUGCGUAUUGGCGGGAAGCGACAUCAUCCUAUCUAGCUCGAGUGGUUCUCAGGCAAUAAAAUCUGUGAGUGGACCCCUUCUUAAACUAUAUAUUUUAUAAAUAUUAGCCUAGCAUGCAUGAUUUAUUUCACGAUUUGAACGUGAUUUAUAUUAUGGAUUUAUAUUAUGGCUUUAUAGAUUUCUAUACUUAUGGUUUAAGUGAAAUUAAGAUUUACGAAGGUUAUUAUUUAUCUAACCUACAUUUCACUAAAGGUGAUGAAUUAUGGAUUUACAUACAAAAAUUAUAUGGCUUUCAAACAUGAUUUAUAUUAUGGAUUCAUGAGAUGACGCUUUGAGUUUUGAUGAGCUCUGGUUUUGAUAUGAGAUUUUGAGUUAUGUUUUUGGUACUUACCUAGUGUGUUAUCAUACGGCACAUCUAGACACCAUGGGUAUAGAUGUUUAUGGCCAUAGGACACAGAUGAUGGAUGAGUGAGUUAUGAUAUACAUUAUACUCCUAGCUUUACUGCCGAAGGCGGUGUUGGACAGCUUCAUUAGCCACUGCUAGUGUCGGUGUGGAUGCUUUGCUAUUUAAUUUAGCUUCACCUACGGGUGAUGGACAAGUUAUUCAGCUUCACGUUCGGGUGAUGGACAAGUACUGCAUUCGGGCGAUUAUGAUACGCCUAGUUAAGUACCUCAUUGAUGAGAUUUACGGAUUUGCCUUCAGGCGACAUUUUCAGCAUUAUUGAGCAUGGUUUUACACGUACAUGUUUUACAAAGGUUUUGCGUGGCAUACUAUGGUUUUCAUUAAACCUAUAUGUAGUACUAUAUAUGUGUUUUCAAAACAGGAGGUUACUAUGUUCAUAAAGAAAACUGUUUUUUAUUAUUAAUAUUAUUAUUAUAAACUUUGGUCCACUCACCUUUUCUGUUUUUGCACCCCCUCAAGAGUUAGGAUCGAGGCACAUGAUCCCAGCGUCAAGGUACUUCAACUUAGUUAUUGUGACACCCCGUCCUAGAAUAAAAUUUUAUCGAUGACAUGAGAUGACUAUUCUGCCCUUGGACGUUUUGUGUGGUGGUGUGGUAGGUUAGAAUUUGGACCAAUUAGUGCUAGGUCCUAUUAUUUUGGAACCAAUUAAGACUUAGAUGGUAUUUCUUUGGUUUUGGUUGUUGACCCACGUGUGCCCCACACACACACACACACACUUACUCUCUCUCUCUCCCUCUCUCUCUCUCUCUCUUUCCUCAUGGAUUUUUCUGAAAAUCUGUAAAAUUGUACAGACGAACUUGGAACCAACCAUUUCAUGCACGGGUCGACGUUAAGAAGGUAAGAUUUGAACUCCUUGCAAGUCUCUGAGUUCAUAUAGACCAUUUUUAGAUCUUAAAACCUUUAAAAACCUCUAGAACUUGAACCCUAUAUUUCAUGCACUGUUCAUGCACUAAUUAAUGUGAAGUUUUUAGGAGUUUUUAAGGACAUAGAGAGCUUUGAAUCAUCCUCACGAAGCUCAGAAUUAUCGAGCUCUCUCCAGCAAGUUUUUGUUGAUUUCAAGCCUUGAAAUUGGUAAGGAUGUGUUCUUCUAGUUAUAAGCUUUAAAUUGAGACCAAUUUCAUGAGUUUUGGUUAAGAUAUGACUGAGAUACAAGGUUUUAAAGUUUUUCCCAGUUUUCGGUAACAGCGACGGUCGCCGGAGUUCGAAGGUACGGGAUGAUGGAAUAUUCCUAACCACGUUGGUUAGUUUUAACGGUUUCUGUUACUUUUUAACUGAAUAUUCCUAAUGGGGUUAGGGGAUUCUGUUAGGGUCCCUGCGCGUAGGGCCGUGCCCUUGCCGGCCCGUGAGGGCUCCAAAAUUAUUUUAAAAAUUUGGGUGUGUUCGUGUAGUUGUGUAGGUCACAAUGGUAUAUUUAUAUACCUCAUUUGAGCAAUGUAUGAGAAGUUAUUAGCUAGUAUUGGUUAUGUGCUUUAAAUAACGUUUAUUCAGUUAUUUCACAUAUAGGUGAGACCUAUCUCAAGGACAAGCACAGUCAAUGACGACUCGGGGGCUACGACCCUUCGACCUACCAGUGAGUGGCCUUUUGGUUUUAAUAUAUAUGUAUAUGCUUGGUAUUUUCCCAGAAAAUGCAUUUAAAUGAGUUAUGAUUUAAAUUGCCAUGCCUAAUGUUUUAUAUUUAGAAAAUUCAUAUGAUGUUUGCAUAUAUAUAUAUAUAUAUAUAUAUAUAAUUGUGGUGUUGAGGACGCUCAGGUAAGUCCCAGGUGAGUUUAUGAAUUGUGAAUGUGAAUAAUGGUUGUGAUUAAUUGAGAAACAUUGAGCUCAUGAACCUGCACCUUGAUGUUAGUGAUUUAGCCAGAGAUAUGGCACAUGCAUGUAUAUAAUGUCACCUCCCGCACCAUAUGCUCACAUUGGAUCCAAUUUAGGUGCACAGUCUUGUCGUAUAAACCAUUAUAGGUGGUUCCGACUCAUAGGUGACUAGCGAUUUAUCGCACAGCUAUCAUGAGAAAGUAGCAUUGAGCAUAACUAUAUUACACCCAGUCUUGUCACAUAGACCCUUCCAAUGGUUCCGACUCGUGUGCAAUGUAGUGUCGUAUAGGUCACCUGUAGUGACUCCGGUUAGAGUGACUAAUGAGCUAUGAAUUCAGCCGUAUAGACUUCUGCAGGGGUUCCGACUAAUAUGUUAUUUUCCAUGAAUUUAUUUUCACUUGAGUUACUUAUUCUGUUUUAUAUUUGGCAUGGCAUACUUAUGUUUAUGGAUAUGUGAAGCAUGAUUUGAAUAUAUAUAUAUAUAUAUAUAUAUAUAUAUAUAUAUAUAUAUAUAUAUAUUUCUAGGAAAAUUAUACAUGUUUUACGGCGAGGGGUUAGAGUGUUUGUUAAUGAAAUGAUUUUGUGCCCCUCUAGGUUUUAGGUAGACUUGAUGUUGGUGGCAUUUGAGGAUCUCGGCGGUUCUGACAGCAUAUAAUAUUCGUAAGAUAUCUUUUGGUACUGUAUAACUAGUACUUGUCCUACUAGACUGCACCUAGACUUUCUAUGCUCUGAUUAGGUGCAUUUACACUUGUAUCUCAUUCCUAGCACUUCCUACUUAUUAGUGCACAUUAGUUAGCUUUCAGUUUUUAUUUAUUCGUAUAUUUCUUAUCCUUAUCGCUUCCGCACUAUGCACAUGGCUACGUCACCCUCACGUGACGGCCAGCACACCUUGAUUUUAGGUCGGGGUGUGUCAGUUAUCCUCGAGUCUUCUUGGCGUAGGUUUCAUUUCCUUGUUCAUAUCUUUUUAUAGUCAUUCUUUCAUGUUAUUCUUAGUUGGUAGUAUGCUCUAAUCACAUUCCUACUUUGGUAUAAUCGUUCUAAUUACAUACAGUUUAAUUAUGUGCUUGUUUAAAAUGGUUUUGUCACCAUCGGGUGUCGGUUAGCACGUGCUUACCUUGAUAUUUGGGGAUAUCGGGGUUGGGGCAUGUCAUCCCGCUUCCCAUUUUUGGCACCCGCCCAAAUUUAAGGAUUUUGCGUGACGAAAUAUUAUUAAAUUUUGCUUCGUCGUGUAAAAUUUAUUAAAAUAAUUUUUACUAUAGAAUUUAAAAUAAAAAAUUAAAUACAAAAUAAAAUAAACAAAGUUUAUGCAACGAAAUAUCAAUAUUCGUCGUGCAAAAUUUAAAAAAAUGAUAAAAAAGAAAAAAAAUUAGUUUAACAAUAUAAAAUAUAAAAUUAAAUAAAUAGGGUUUAGGUGACGAAAUAUUAAUAUUCAUCACGCAAAGUUUUAAAAAAAUAAUAAAAUCUAUGAAAAUAAAUUUAUUUCAUAAUUUAAAUAAAAAAGAAAAUAAAUUGGGUUUAGGCACGAAAUAUUUGGAUUUCGUCGCGCAAUGGUUUUAAAUUUUUUAUUUUAUUUUAUCUCCUCUGUAAUCAACUCGCAGACCUUUUCACCAAGGCUCUUCACAAACCAUGCCAUGGUCUGAACAAACAUGUCCUGCGUAGGAGGAUGCUACAAUUGAAAUAGUAUCUCCGAAUUCUUCUCUGGUAUCAUUGUUUUCCUUGUAUAAUUGUAAAUCCUAAUUGUACUUAUUAUAUGAUUCUUGCCAUAAUAAGUUAGAAAACAAGACAAAUGAAUGGGCAUAGCAACGCUCAUUGUAUUUGUAGAACCUUGUUGAAUCAAUGCUAUGUUUUAAGUGGCCUCUUUAGAAGUUCCCUUAAUAUCAAAGAUACAAAAAGUAAGAGGUUUUUAGUUUUAAAUUGAAAUUGUAAUCGUACUUCAUAAUUAAAGUCUUAGUCGAUCGGAAAUUGUUUGGUAAAAAUCACGGGCGGAGCUAAUGCACGCCUAGUGUGUGCAGGCUGUGCAGAUGCGCUCACUUGGAAAAAUAGUGCAGGCUUUGUCCGAUUAAUUUGGAGUGGCAAAUUAUAGAACCCGAGCGUAGUAAAACCUCCACUUAGAAAAGCAGUUGAGGCUUUGUCCCAAUUGUAAUUUCAUAAUUUAACCAUAUUUAGUUGAUUUUUUUACGCUCCAUAUGAGUAAUUAAAAUUUUGGCUCUGUUAGUGAUAAAAAUCAGCCUUAGUAAAACAAAUGACAACAUCAAGUGAUUCAAAAACCAAAAGCAGCAUUAUAAACAACGUAUGUAUGUAGGAAAUAUAAAGAUCAAUGAAUUAAACAAGCCAAUAACUAGUCUUGAUCACUGGCAAAGAUGUAGAGUACUAGUACUAACUCUAAUGCCAAUUAGCUACUCUGUUUUCACUUGCAUUGCAAACUUUUGAGCGUCUUGGCUGACAGAUCAAAUGCAAUGGUGCAGUCCAUGGUGGAAGACUUCUUCUUCUUCAUUAUAAGCAUCAGUUCAACCUUUCCAGUCACCUUAGCCGCACUGUUGAGAGUCAACACCCCGCUGCUCAAUUCACUGCCAAGAUUAGAGCCGCUUAAUGCACUCGAACUCAAGCUCACAUCGACGUUCAUUUUUUUGGUGGAAAGCAUUCCAGCCUUGCUCUUUGGAAUAACGACUUGCCCAACAGCUGCGCCUUGGUACAGAAACGUGACAGUGCUUGCAUCAAACUUGUAAGGACCCCAGUUUGUGUUUUUCACCUUGAUUUGGGUUGUGAAUUUUGUGUCGAAUAAAGGUGUUGCCGGGACGGAGUUGAGUUCUUGGACGUUGAUGUUGCCUAGCCUGACCUUAGGGGUCUUAACUUUCAUGACAGUGAGACUGAUCACAGUUAUGACAAUGAUCUGAAACACAAUGAAAACACCGACAUAAAUGGCCAACUUGAUUCUCUUCUUGCGUUUGAGCUCAUCGGCUGAUUGCAAAGACUCUGCAUCACCUCUCUGGUAACCAUUUGCCGGUGCCAAGGGAUAGGCCUGGUUGGUUUUCUCAGCCAUGUUUCUUUUGUUUUCUGGUAUGAAAUGGGGAGGAAACUUUCCCUGCUUUUGUUUCGUGGGUUCGGUUUUCUUGGAUUAAACUUGAUAGUUGAGGAAGUUGUUUGUGGAAAUAUUGGAAUAGUAACGUGCUAUAUAGUGGUUGAAUUGUGAGUGACUCUUUGGAAAUUUACCCAGGACCCUUCUAAGGGUAAUUCAAUGUCCUGAAUCUGUUUUUGACGUUAGUUUUCUCAAAUUCAAUCGUUUGAGUAUAGUUUUGGUAAUCGUACUCUUUAUAUGCUUAGGUGCAAUUUCUAGCGGCGAUUCUGUUAUUCCUAUUUGUACGGUUGUGCACCAACGGUGUAAGGUGAGUGGACCCCUUCUAAAAUGCAUUUUUUUAUAGUAGAAAUGCAUACAUGAAAAGCAUGAUUUAAUGAUUAUAUUUUAUGAAAUGUUUUGAUGAGAUAACAUGCUUAUUGAGGCUAGUUUGAAUUAUUACUAUUUUUCUUAUACCGUGUUUUUUAUAGAAUAUCUGAUGGAUGACGAUAUAAUAUUUAGAACAUGUUUCGAACAACUCUUUAUAGUAUAGAUGAUGGAUGACUUUAUACCAUGAAGUUACUAUUCAAAUAUAUGUAUGUUCAAUGGUUUUGUACUUACCUAGUGGUCCCUAUUCUGCUACGGGGCGAGGGAUAGAUUCCGCCACGGGCAAGGUUACUAUGUUGGCAUAGGGCCUGAAAAAAUAAUCUCUAACUAUGGGUUGAUAGACACGGGAAGUUGACACGGGACCUGAAGGUGAUUUUCCUCUGGCCAUUGGCAUAAGGACGAGGAGCUGGCACGGGGCUUGGAGUGAGAUUGGACAUUCACUAGCGAUUACUAUAUAUACGAGAUAUGUUUUGAGACAUUGCAUGGCAUGCUAGGUUUCGGAAAACCUUAUUUUUAUUUAUCAUGCUAUAUGUGUUUUCAUAAAACCUAGGGGGUUAGUAUGUUGAUAACUGUUUCAGUAUUAUUAUAUAUAUCAACUUGGUCCACUCAUGUUUGUUUUGUGCCCCCUUCAGGAAUUAGAAUCGAGGUGUACAAUCCCGGCUUCAAGGCACUUCUGCAUCGGCAUCUUCGAGUCCUUUCAGUGUAGGACCCAUCCUUUGUUUCAUUCAAUUUUAUACUAUUUCUUUUAGUGUUAUAGUUAGUUGUAUGCUCUGAACACGUUCCUUAAACGCAUAUUCAUUAUAUUUAAAUUUAUAAGUCUGAUUUAUUUCUUGUUCUCAACAUUUACAUUCAAGAAAUGGCUUUCGUCACCCUUCAGGUGUCGGCCAACACAUGCCUAUCCUGGUGUUCGGGGAAUAUUGGGAAUCGGGGUGUGUCACAAAUGAUGUCUCCUAAGACGUUUUGCACACAUAUAAAUGGUAGUAGAUUAAAUUGUAAUCUUACUGGCUUAUGGAACCGUUGAAUAUAUAUGCCUAAAAUGUAGUAAGUACAAACUAAAAAAAAAGAAAAAAAGAAAAAAUAGGGCAUCAUAUUUAAAAAAUAAGUACAGCAAUAAUAAUGUAUUCCUGCAGAAAAUACACUAAACUCACAAAGAGUGAAAAAAAAUGAAAAAAUAACAAAUCAAGAAUUAAUAUGGAUCUCGCAAGUCUGAUCACUUGCACUGCAAACUUUUGAGCGUCUUUGAUGACAAAUCAAAUGCAAUGGUACAAUCCAUGGUGGAAGAUUUCUUCUUCUUCAUUAUCAACAUAAGUUCAACCUUUCCUGUCAACUUAGCCGCGCUGUUGAGAGUCAACACCCCGCUGCUCAAUUCACUGCCAAGAUUGGAACCGCUUAAUGCACUCGAACUCAAGCUCACAUCCGCGUUCAUUUUUUUGGUGGAAAGCAUUCCAGCCUUGCUCUUUGGAAUAACUACUUGCCCAACAGCCGCGCCUUGGUACAGAAACGUGACAGUGCUUGCAUCAAACUUGUAAGGACCCCAGUUUGUGUUUUUCACCUUGAUUUGGGUUGUGAAUUUUGUGUCGAAUGAAGGCGUUGCCUGGGACGGAGUUGAGUUCUUGGACGUUGAUGUUGCCUAGCCUGACCUUAGGGGUCUUAACUUUCAUGACAGUGAGACUGAUCACAGUUAUGACAAUGAUCUGAAAUACAAUGAAAACACCGACAUAAAUGGCCAACUUGAUUCUCUUCUUGCGUUUGAGCUCAUCGGCUGAUUGCAAAGACUCUGCAUCACCUCUCUGGUAACCAUUUGCCGGUGCCAAGGGAUAGGCCUGGUUGGUUUUCUCAGCCAUGUUUCUUUUGUUUUCUGGUAUGAAAUGGGGUGGAAACUUUCCCUGCUUUUGUUUUGUGGGUUCGGUUUUCUUGGAUUAAACUUGAUAGCGGAGGGAGUUGUUUGUGGAAAUAUUGGAAGAGUAGCGUGCUAUAUAUAGUGUUUGGAGUUUGGCCCAUUUUCAAUGAGUUAAGAGGGGGAAUGUAUUUCCAGGAAAUCGCGAGUUGGGGUAAGAAUUUUAUUGCUGACGCCAAACGCGUCCAAAGCCGAAUGUGAAAACUUACUUUUGACUUCUAGAUGAUGGAUGAGUUUUGAGAGGACUUUUAGCAUAUUAAUCAUCAAGAGAAGCUUCGAUUCUAUCCGUUGGCAUACACCACAUCUCCCAAAUGGCAGGUGAGAUUGUGAAUCAUUACUCUAUAAUAAUCACCCUUCACUAAUCAAAUUGUUUAUAGUAUUAUCAUGAUUUAUAUCUUCUUAAUUUGAUUGAUUCUGUUGUCCAAUAAGGUUUCCUCUUCAAUUUAUUGCUUGUGAACCAUCAUAAGCAAGAAUUUCAAAACUCUUGAAGACUAAAAGUUUCGGUCCUUUAGAGCAGAGGGAUUAAUAUAAAUUAUGAAGAUAAUAGAUGCGAAUACAAAGCUAUCACUACUACUACUACAAAAAAAAAAAAAAAAAAAAAAAAACUUUGCGUGACGAAAUAAGAUUUGCUGUACAAAGUAUGAAUUCAUCGCUCAAAGCCUUGCGCGUCGUUAAUGGUUCAUCGCGUAAAGCUCUUGAAGAUAGGGUUUGUACGACGAAAAUUAAUCUUCGUCACACAAAGUUUUUGGUUUUUUUUAUAUUUUAUUAAAUGGAAUUAAUUUAAUAUUUUGGGCCACAAAAAUUCUUUUAUUAUUUCUCGUAUUUUAAUUUAAUUACAGUAACUGUUUGCACGACGAAAUAUUUGGUAGCGCAAGAUUUUUCGAUUUUUUAAUUUAAUUUAAAUUAAUUGUAUGACUUUAUUUUUUAAUUGCUUUAAUUUAAAAAUUCACAAUAAACAAUACAAAGAAUCAUAAUUCAACAAGAUGAUUUUCGACUGAAAUAGAGAAAUCAAGACGAAUAAAUGGGCUUAGCAACACUCUUUGUAUUUAUAGAACCUUGUUGAAUCAAUGCUAUAUGUUUGAAGUGGCCUCUUUAAAAGUUCCCUAAAUAUUACAGAUAUAGAAGGUUCGAAGAUUCUUUUUUAUUGAAUUUGUAAUCGUACUUCAUAAUUAAAGUCUAAGUCGAUCGGAAACUAUUUGGUAAAAUCACGGGCGGAGCUAAUGCAUGCCUACAUUUAGGUCUGGCAAAUGGGUCGUAUAUGUCGUUUUCAUGUUGUUUUCGUGUAACACAUGUUAUCUUAACGAGUCGUGUCGUGUCACAUCCGUUAUCUUAACGGGUCCUUAACAGGUCGGGUCAAAUGGGUAAAGUGACCCGACCCAUUAUGACCUAUUAUGACCCGUUAAGAAUUUUUUUUUUUUCUUCUUAAAUUUGCACAUACCACACAUUGCCACAUAAAUAUUACUUCAAAACAUUAAAACAUAUUUGUCCUUUAAAUGCUACAUCUACACUCGAAAAUAAGAGCCUAAUUAACAAACAUUCAUACACUAACAUCCAUACACUACUAGUCUAUUACAAAAUAUUAAAUGUGCAAGGAUAUGCAAAAUGAAAGAGUUUUUGUUUUCAAGGUUGUGAAGCAUUUCUCAAAAGUUUAAACCUUAUCAAUGGAACUCAAAGCUUGCAUGUUAUUCCUUUUACAAAAUCCUCAAUUUUCAUCAAUCAUCAUGACAUAAGAUUUUGUGGUAUCCACUAGUGUAAAUAUUUUAAAUUGAAGAUCAAAUUCAUUCAUGGUAUUCAUAUAGCGUCAAGGAGUGUAGCUGUAAACAAUCAUCAAAAUCAGAGUUAAAAUAACUGUUAAAUUGUGAUUUUUAGUUGACAACCAUGGAAAAGUUUUGUUUCGUUACUUGAUCUUUGAAUGUUUGUUUUUUGCAAUUUUUGGCUUACGAUAUCUUGAAGUAUAUACAAAUAAGUUUGACGGUUGGAUCGUUGAAAUUAGUUUCGCCGAAUGCAUAUUCCAUCAAAACGAUAUAUUCACUAACAUUUAGAGUUUAUUUAUACUUUCAUUAAGUAUAACUAGUGUAAAUAUUUUAAAUUGAAGAAUGAAUUCAUUCAUUGUAUUCAUAUAGGGUCAAGGAGUAUAGCUGUAAAAAAAUCAUCAAAAUCAGAGUUAAAAUAACCGUUAAAUCAUGAUAUUUUGUUGAUAACCGUCGAAAAGUUUUGUCCCGUUACUUGAUCUCUGAAUGUUUAUUUUUUUGCACUUUUUGGCUUAUGCGAUCUUGAAGUAUAUACAAACAUGUUUGACGGUUAGAUCGUUGAAACUAGUUUCGUAAAAUGUGUAUCUCAUCAAAACAAUAGAUUCACUAACACUGAAGAGUUUAUUCAUACUUUCAUUAAGUAUAGUAUAAGAUUUUGUAGUAUCAACAAAUGUAAAUAUUUUAAAUUGAAGAUCGAGUUCAUUCAUUGUAUUCAUAUAGGGUCAAGGAGUAGCUGUAAAAAAAUCAGUAAAAUCGGAGUUAAAAUAACCGUUAAAUCGUGAUUUUUUGUUUAUAACCGUAAAAAAGUUUUGUCCUGUUACUUGAUCUCUGAAUGUUUGUUUUCUACAAUUUUUGGCGUAUGCGAUCUCAAAGUAUAUACAAACAUGUUUGACGGUUGGAUCGUUGAAAAUAGUUUUGUAGAAUGCGUAUCCAUCAAAACAAUAGAUUCAUUAACACUUAAGAGUUUAUUCAUACUUUCACGAAGUAUAAAUAAGAUUUUGUGGUAUCCACUACUGUAAAUAUUUUAAAUUGAAGAUCGAGUUCAUUCAUUGUAUUCGUAUAGGGUCAAGGAGUGUAACUGUAAAAAAACAUCAAAAUCGAAGUUAAAAUAACCGUCAAAUCAUGAUUUUUCGUUGAUAACCGUCGACAAGUUUUGUCCCAUUACUUGAUCUCUGAAUACUUGUUUUUUGCGAUUUUUUGCGUAUGAAAUCUUGAAGCAUACACAACCAAGUUUUACGGUUGGAUGAUUGAAAUUACUUUCGUAGAAUGCGUAUCUCAUCAAAACGAUAGAUUCACUAACAAUUAGAGUUUAUUUAUACUUUCAUUAAGUAUAACAUAAGAUUUUGUGGUAUUCACUAUUAUCAAUAUUUUAAAUUGAAGAUUAAAUUCAUUCAUUGUAUUCAUAUAGGGUUAAGAAGUGUAGCUGUAAAAAAUUAUCAAAAUCAGAGUUAAAAUAACUGUUAAAUCGUGAUUUUUUGUUGAUAACCGUCGAAAAGUUUUGUUCCGUUACUUGAUCUCUGAAUGUUUUUUUUUUUUUUUUUUGCAAUUUUUGGCUUAUGCAAUCUCGAAGUAUAUACAAACACAUUUGACGAUUAGAUUGUUGAAACUAGUUUCGAAAAAUGUGUAUCCCAUCAAAACAAUAGAUUCACUAAUACUUAAGAGUUUAUUCAUACUUUCAUUAAGUUUAACAUAAGAUUUUGUGGUAUCCACUAGUGUAAAUAUUUUAAAUUGAAGAUCGAGUUCAUUCAUUGCAUUCAUAUAGGGUCAAUGAGUGUAGCUGUAAAAAAUCAUCAAAAUCAGAGUUAAAAUAACCGUUAAUUGUGAUUUUUCGUUUAUAACCGUCGAAACGUUUUGUCCCGUUACUCGAUCUCUGUAUGUUUGUUUUACACAAUUUUUGGCGUAUGGGAUCUUGAAGUAUAUACAAACAUGUUUAACUGUUGGAUCGUUGAAACUAGUUUCAUAGAAUGCGUAUCCCAUCAAAACAAUAAAUUUACUAACACUUAAAAGUUUAUUCAUACUUUCAUCAAGUAUAACAUAAAAUUUGGUGGUAUCCACGAGUGUAAAUGUCUUAAAUUGAAGAUCGGGUUCAUUCAUUGUAUUCGUAUAGGGUCAAAGAGUGUAGCUAUAAAAAAUCAUCAAAAUCGAAGUUAAAAUAACAGUUAAAUCAUGAUUUUUCCUUGAUAAGCGUUGAAAUAUUUUGUUCCUUUACUUGAUCUCUGAAUGUUUUUUUUUUGUGAUUUUUGGCGUAUGCGAUCUUGAAGCAUACACAAACAAGUUUGACGGUUGGAUCGUUGAAAUUAGUUUCGUAGAAUGCGUAACCCAUCAAAACGAUAGAUUCACUAACAUUUAGAGUUUAUUUAUACUUUCAUUAAGUAUAACAUAAGAUUUUGUGGUAUCCACUAGUGUCAAUAUUUUAAAUUGAAGAUCAAAUUCAUUCAUUGUAUUCAUAUAGGGUCAAGGAGUAUAGCUGUAAAAAAUCGUCAAAAUUGGAGUUAAAAUAACCGUUAAAUCGUGAUUUUUCGUUUAUAAUCGUAAAAAAGUUUUGUCCCAGUACUUGAUCUCUGAAUGUUUAUUUUUUGCAAUUUUUGGCAUAUGCGAUGUCAAAGUACAUACAAACAUGUUUGAAGGUUGGAUCGUUGAAACUAGUUUCGUAGAAUGCGUAUCCCAUCAAAACAAUAGAUUCACUAACACUUAAAAGUUUAUUCAUACUUUCAUUAAGUAUAACUAGUGUAAAUAUUUUAAAUUGAAGAUCGAGUUAAUUCAUUGUAUUCAUAUAGGGUCAAGAAGUAUAGCUGUAAAAAAUCAUCAAAAUUGGAGUGAAAAUAUCCGUUACAUUGUGAUUUUUCGUUGAUAACCGUCGAAAAAUUUUGUUCCGUUGAUCUCUGAAUAUUUGUUUUUUUACGAUUUUUUGCUGAUGCUAUCUUGAAGUAUACAAACAAGUUUGACGGUUAGAUCGUUAAAAUUAGUUUCGUAGAAUUCGUAUCUCAUAAAGUUCAAUGUGGUAUGUGUGUGUAUAUAUAUACAUAUAUUUAUUAAGUAGAUUUAAAUUUAUUUAUUUUGUACAUAUAACACUUAAGAAUUGAAUGGUAUGUAUAUUUAAGCCGAUCCAAUGGUCACCAAUUUUUAAUAUUUAAUUUAAUAUAUAUAUAUAUAUAUAUAUAUAUAUAUAUAUAUAUAAUUAGUAUAGUUUUGAGCGGUAUAAAAUUGUUAAAUUAAUAUAUAUAAUUAUUAUAGUAUUUUUUAGGGUUAUAACCCACGUGUAUACCCAAACCAACAUGUUAUCUUAAUAAGUGCUUAUCAGGUUACCCGAUAACAACCCGAUUCGUUAUCGUGUUGACCCGAACACCUGUUAAUUUCGUGUCAUGUCGUGUCGUGCCAGGUCUACCUACAUUGCCUAGUGCGGGCAGCUGCACUCACUUGGAAAAAUAGUGCAACCUUUGUCCCAUUAUUUGGAGUGGCAAAUUGAAAAUUAUACCUGUUAGCGUAGUAAAACCUCCACUUAGAAAAGUAGAGCAGGAUUUGUCCCAAUUGUAAUUUUAUAAUUUAACUAUAUUUUGGUGGUCUUCUUAUAAAAAAAAAAAAAAAAAAUAAUAUAUAUAUAUAUAUAUAUAUAUAUAUAUAUAUAUAUAUACUUUGGUUGAUUUUCUUUACACCCCAUAUAAGUAAAAUUCUGACUCCGUCACUAAUAAAAAUCAGCCAUAGUAAAGCAAAUGACAACAUCAACGAAUUAAAAAAUCCAAUAGCUAGACUUGAUCACUCGCAAAGAUGUAGAGUACAAUUACUAACUCUAAUGCCAAGUAGCAACUCUGUUUUCACUUGCAUUGCAAACUUUUGAGCGUCUUGGCUGACAGAUCAAAUGCAAUGGUGCAGUCCAUGGUGGAAGACUUCUUCUUCUUCAUUAUAAGCAUCAGUUCAACCUUUCCAGUCACCUUAGCCGCACUGUUGAGGGUCAAUACCCCGCUGCUCAAUUCACUGCCAAGAUUGGAACCGCUUAAUGCACUCGAACUCAAGCUCACCUCGACAUUCAUUUUUUUGGUGGAAAGCAUUCCAGCCAUAGUCUUUGGAAAAACUACUUGCCCAACAGCCGCGCCUUGGUACAAAAACGUGACAGUGUUAGCAUCAAACUUGUAAGGACCCGAGUUUGUGUUUUUCACCUUGAUUUGGGUUGUGAAUUUUGUGUCGAAUGAAGGUGUCGCCGGGACGGAAUUGAGUUCUUGGACGUCGAUGUUGCCUAGCCUGACCUUAGGGGUCUUAACUUUCAUGACAGUGAGACUGAUCACAGUUAUGAUAAUAAUCUGAAACACAAUGAAAACACCGACAUAAAUGGCCAACUUGAUUCUCUUCUUGCGUUUGAGCUCAUCGGUUGAUUGCAAAGACUCUGCAUCACUUCUCUGGUAACCAUUUGCCGGUGCCAAGGGAUAGGCCUGGUUGGUUUUCUCAGCCAUGUUUCUUUUUGUUUUCUGGUAUGAAAUGGGGAGGAAACUUUUGUUGGAAAAUUUAAUAAUAAUAAUAUUAUAUUAAAUUUAUUAAUUGAAUGGAAAUUAGAAGUGGAACCUUUUGGUAGAAAGAUGUGUUUACUCAAAUGAAGAGUUGCAACUUUUGACUCUUCAUGAAUAGUCACAUGUUUUCUAAAGAGGUAUCUCACAUUCUAUAAAUAGGGAAGCCCCCUAUAAUCACAAAAUAACUUUUCAUUAUUUACAUAACACAUAGAGUGCACUCAAUAUUAGAGAGUCUCAUUAAGUCUAUAUGAGAGAGUUUUCAACACAAUAGUGAUUCAUGGAACCUUGUGAUUUGGAGUGUUACUAUUACAAGGACGUGGUCUUUGUAUCUUGAGAGAUAGAGACAUGUGCCGAUCAAACAUGAGCACCGUAGUGAGGCGUAAACUUGUCUUAAGGACAAAGUGUUCAACAUUUGCCUCAACCGUAUUUUUUAGGUUUUUCUAAUCCAUUAUAUCAUGUUCAUUUAACAUUGGUUACUCAUGUGCAUGCAUUAUUGUGAUAUAUAAUUGCAUGAAUUAUUUCUUGAUUUUCUAUGCGAUUUAUUAUAGCAAUUAGACCUUAAUUUUUCCAACAAGUUUGCCUGCUUUUGUUUUGUCGGUAAGGUUUUCUUGGAUUAAACUUGAUAAUGGAGGGAGUUGUUUGUGGAAAUAUUGGAAAAGUAGCGUGCUAUAUAUAGUGUUUAGAGUUUGGCCUAUUUUCAAUGAGUUAAGAGGGAGAAUGUAUUUCCAGGAAAUCGCGAGUUGGGGCAAGAAUUUUAUUGCUAACGCCAACGCGUCCAAAGCGGAAUGUGAAAACUUAUUUUUGACUUCUAGAUGAUGGAUGAGUUUUGAGAGGACUUUUAGCAUAUUACAUAUUAACAGAAGCUUUGAUUCUGUCCGUUGACAUACACCAAAUCUCCCAUGGCAGGUGAGAUUGUGAACCAUUACUCUAUAAUAAUCACCCUUCACUAAUGAAAUUGUUAAUAGUAUUAUCAAAAUUUAUAUUUUCUUAAUUUUGACUUAUUCUGUUGUCUAGGUUCGUCUUCAAUUUAUUGCUCGUAACCAUUACAAGCAAGAAGUUCAAAACUCUUGAAGAUUGAGAGUUUUGGUCGUUUAAAGCCGAGGGAUUAAUAUAAAUUAUGAAGAUAAUAGAUGUGAAUACAAAGCUGUCACUACUAUAAAAAUAAACUUUGCGCGACGAAAUAAGAUUGGUUGUGCAAAGUAUGAAUUCAUUACUCAAAACCUUGCGCGACGAAUUUUUUGUUGCUAAUGAUUCGUCGCUCAAAGUUUUUAGUUUUUUUUUAAAUAUAUUUUAUUUAAUUAAAUUAAUUUAAUAUUUUACACGACGAAAAUUGUUUAUUAUUUCUCUUAUUUUAAUUUAAUUAUAGUAAUUGUUUGCACGACGAAAUAUUUGGUAGCACAAGAUUUUUCGAGUUUUUACUUGUUUUUAAUUUAAUUUAAUUAUAUGACUUUACUUUUUAAUUGCUUUAAUUUAAAUUGAUACAUUCAAAAUAAAAUUACAUAUGAAAAAUAUUGAUCAAAUUAUCCAUAAUAUAUAUUAUAUUUAAAAUGUACAUAUAAAUUAAUAAAGUACAAUAAUAAAAUCCUAAUUCUCAACUUUCUCCGUCAAAGUCCCAACGAUUCCCUAUGAGAAACAAAACAUGGUCAAAUAACCAAAAAACAACAUAAAAUAAUACCAAAAAAUGGGCAUAACCUCCCCUAAAAUCGGCAUACCCCAAAUCUGACCUCAAACUCCCCAUCACCUUGAACCUGACCCCAAACCCCAUCCUAAACCCAAAAUUAACUCCAAAAACACAUUAUUGAAAAAAAAAAUUAGGGAGAAAAUACCUUUACUCAAGAUUGAGAGUGAAUGAGAGAUUGGGAGGAGGAGAGAUUGUGAGACAGUGAAAGGAGAUGGUGAGAGAGAGGAGAGAGUGAGUGAGUGAGUGAGAGAUAAGACAGAGAGGAGAGAUUGAGUGUGAGUAAGAGGAGUGAGUAUGAGAGUAAUGGUCGGAUUUGGGUUGAGGGAAAGAGAAAGGAGUGGUAAGAGAAUAGGGAGAGACAUUGAGAAAUUUGUAGAGGAGUUAUUUUAGUUUUAAAAACCGUAUCACUUUGUGCAACAAAUAAUACAAUUUUGUGCAACGAAAGAUUGGUCACGAAAAGUCUUAAAAAAAAUUCCCGCGUCCCAUUUUUGGCGCCCACCUAAAUUUUUAGAAGGGAGACUUUGGAUGCGGUCCUUAGUUAUGAAUAUUCUUUGAUUGAAACCUUGUUAGUUUUUAAUUUUUGGUCGAGGUCAUUGAAAUCAAUGUGAUAAUUUAUUUCUAUGUACGUUACUAUAUUUUUUUAAAUUAAAAAUUAGAAAUUUUAGUUGUUUAUAUAAAUGAGAUUUUAAAUAAAAAACCAUAAUUUGUGGGAUUAAAAAUAUUAAAAUAUAAAUAUACUAUAGUGUGUGUGUGUGUGUAAACAUGGGUACAUUCUUCAAAAUCACAACAAAAAAAAAAAAAAAGAUAUUAGGCUUAAUAACAUUGGUAAAUUUCUUCGAUUAAACUUGACAUGGAUACAUUUUAAAAUCAAAGGAAAAAAAUGUACCCAUAUAAGUUUAAAAAUGGAUUAGAAAAAAAUUGAAUACAUUUUAUGUAAAAAAAUGGUACAUUUUACAUAUAACAAAUUGGUAUAUUUAAGAAUGAGUACAUUUUAAGAUUAAAAAAUUUUACAUGAAUGGGUACAUAUAAUUAGCAUGGGUACAUUUAUCAAAAUAAAAAGUACAAAUAAAAAAAAUAUAUGGGUAUAAAUACAAAUAAACUUUAAAAAAUAUGGGCACAAAAAGAAAUUAAUAUAUGGCUACAAAUUAAAACUGAAAAUAAAAUUGGUAUAAAUUAAAAAAGAAUUACAAAUUAAAAACUAAAACUAAAAAUAUAUGAUAAAAAAUUUAGUCAUAAAUAUAAAUAUGCUAAUUGUAUUUUUAACAUUAAAUGAAUAUAUUUAGAGAUUAAAAAAUAUUUUCUAUAUUGAAAUAAUUAAUGAUGUUAUUCAUACCAAGGAUCUUGAUUAAAAAUUAAAAAGGAAUAGAAUUUUAAUCAAUGGAGUAGCAAAAGGAAGGAUAAUAACCUAAUUUCUCCUUUUGAGGAUUUUGUUCGAUGAAAGGAUUGGUUGCUCAAAAUUUUGUGCGACGAAAGAUUGGUCGUUUCAAAGUUUUAAAAAAAAAAAUUCAAAAUAAUUUUCCCGAGUCCAAUUUUCGGCACCCGCCCAAAUUUAAGGAUUUUGUUUGACGAAAUAAUAUUAAAUUUUGUUUCGUCGUGCAAAAUUCAUAAAAAUAAUUUGUAAUAUACAAUUUAAAAUAAAUAAAUAAAAUAAACAAGGUUUACGCCACGAAAGAUCAAUAUUCGUCGUGCAAAAUUUAAAAAAAAAUUAAAAAAAAAUUAUUUACAAUUUAAUAUAUAAAUAAAAUAAAAUAAAUAGGGUUUAGGUUGCGAAGUGUUGAUUCAUCAAGAAAAUAAAAUAAUAAAAAAUAAAAAAUAAAAAAAAUAGUGUUUAGAUGACGAAAUAUUAAUAUUCAUCACACAAAGUUUUUAAAAAUUAAUAAAAUCUAAGAAAAUAAUUUUAUUUUAGAAUUUAAAAUAAAAAAGAAAUAAAUUGGCUUUAGGCACGAAAUAUUUGAAUUUCGUCAUGUAAAGGUUUUAAAAAAGAAUUUUUAUUUUAUCUCCUUUGCUAAUCAACUCGUAGACUUUCUCACCAAGGCUCUUCACAAAUCAUGUCAUGGUUCGAACAGACUUGACCGGUAUAGGAGGACUGCUACAAUUGAAAUAGUAUCUCCAAAUUCUUCUCCAGUAUCAUAGUUUUCCUUAUAUGAUUGUAAAUCCUAAUUGUACUUAUAUGAUUCUUGUCAUAAUAAGUUAGAAAACAAGACAAAUGAAUGGGCAUAGCAACACUCGUUGUAUUUGUAGAACCUUGUUGAAUCAAUGCUAUGUUUUAAGUGGCCUCUUUUGUUAAUGUGUAAAUUGAUGAAUUGAUUUAAGUAAAUUACAAAUAUGUUUAGUGAUGUCUCUUAGCUCAUAGGCUAAGAUUUAGUGAUUCAUUUUAAAUAUGCUAGUUGAGUCUCAUAGGACUUGGUAGUAUACAAAUGUCUUAAGCUUAGUGGAGUAUGAAUUGGAUGGCUGAGAUUGAAUUGAGGAUAUGUCUCUUUCUCUCUCUCCUCUAACGAUUAUUACAUUAAAAAGUGUGUAAGCUCACAACCUGUGUGCAUAUUCCCUAAAAAUAUGGAAAACUUUCAAAGAGUACUCUCACUCUGAGUUUUAAGGAAGAAACAUUCUUAUUCUUCUUCUUUCUUCAAUAAAACCGCUGUAUUCUUCUUUAUUCUCUCUAACAUGGCCUCAGAGCCAGGUUGAGUCUGAACUUCUGGGCGUCGUGUUUGUGAAAGGGUGAGCUCAGAUUCAUAGCAAAAGCUCAUUACAGUGAUUCAAGUUCAUAUCAGUGAUCGAGUCUAACAUGGUUGGAUCUGGAGGAAGAGAACUCAAAGCGCCAGUCUUUAAUGGCGAGAAUUUUGAUUUCUGGCAAAUCAAAAUGAAGACCAUUUCCGAUCACACGAACUGUGGGAUCUAGUUAAAAAUGGGUAUGAAACUCCGGCGAAGAAGGAGGAGGAGCUCACGGAGGCAGAGAAGAAGCUGAUGCGUGAGAAUAUGGUCAAGUAUGCUAGAGCACUUGUAAUCAUCCAAGGUGCCGUCUCAGAUCAAAUUUUUCCAAGAAUCGCAACCCAGAAUAGUGCAAAGGCUGUGUGGGACAUCCUGAAACAAGAAUUUGUGGGUGAUAAACAAGUAAGAUCUGUGAAACUCCAAGGUCUUAUAAGGGAUUUUGAAUACACUUACAUGAAUGAUAAUGAAUCUCUCUCUGUGUAUAUUGCUAAACUGUUUGACCUGAUCAACCAAAUGAAAAGCUAUGGUGAAGAUCUGAGUAAUCAAAGAAUUGUUCAGAAGUUGUUAAUCAGUCUACCUAAGUCUUAUGAUAGUAUUGCAGCUGUGAUAGAAAAUACUAAGGACUUAGACACCAUAGAUGCACAGAAUGUUGUUGAUAUCUUAAAAGGUUAAGAACAAAGGCUUGAUAGACAUGGGGAGAGUAGUAUGGAGAAAGCAUUUACUAGUUUGAAUAUUGCACCAAAGCCAAAUAGGUUUAAUGGUCAGCCAAACAGUAGUAAAUACCAGAAAAAUUUUAAGCAAAGAGGAAAACAGUGGAGUAACAAGGCUGAUUGGGGCAAUAAGGCUAGUUUCCUUGUGAAGAAUGAUACCAAUAACACUGGGGAGGAGUGUAAAUUCUGUGAUAGACUUCACUAUGGAGAGUGUUGGGUUAAGAACAAGGUCAAAUGUCACAAGUGUAGCAAAAUUGGUCAUAUUGCAAGAUACUACAAUAUAAACAAGGUUGUGCAACAGGUGAAUUUUGCUAAUUAGAUAGAGGAAACUGGAAACCUAUUUUAUGCUAACCAUUCUAGAGAAAUGAAGAAAAUUAGUGAUGAAUAGUACAUAGAUAGUGGAUGUAGUAAUCAUAUGACAUCCAGGGAAGAUUUACUUGUUGACAUUGACAGACAUGUGAAAGCCAAGGUCCAAGUAGGCACUGGAAACUUAGUUAAAGUGACUGGAAAUGGGACACUGAUUAUUGAAACAAUGAAGGGCAGAAGAUAUAUAAGAGAAGUAAUGCUUGUACCUGGUCUUACAGAGAAUUUGCUCAGUGUAGGAAAAAUGACAAAGCAUGGUUACUUUCUUCUGUUUGGAGAUUAUAAGGUAAAUGUGUUCGAUGAUAAAUCUCUAAGAAAUCUAGUGGUCAGUGUAAAAUAGAAGGGAAACAGAUGCUUUCCUCUAAAUCUCAGUACCAACAAAGAACUUGCAUUGAGAGUAAAUGUGCAAGAUGAUGCAAAGUUAUGGCAUAAGCAGUUUGGGCAUCUGAAUUUUAGGAGUCUCAAGCGGUUGCAGAGUCAAGGAAUGGAAUUGGGGCUGCCUGAAAUCCAAGACAGUGAUGAUGUAUGUCAAGGCUGUGUAUUUGGAAAGCAUCACAGAGAGUCAUUCCCUAAGGAGACCACAUGGAGAGCACAUGAACUAUUGGAACUGAUUCAUUCUGAUGUGUGUGCACCUAUGCAGGUUCCAACCACAAUUGGAAACAGAUAUUUCCUCACAAUCAUUGAUGACUAUUCAAGAAUGUGUUAGAUCUAUUUUAUGAGCAAUAAAUCAGAAGUGUUUGGAAUAUUUAAAAAGUUUAAAGCUAUGGUUGAAUUGCAAAGUGGUUAUUCACUGAAGAAACUGAGAAGUGAUAGGGGUGGAGAGUUUAAUUCCACUGAGUUCAAUGCAUUCUGUGAGUUAAUUGGGAUGGAAAGACAACUCAUUCUGUCAUAUACUCCACAGCAAAACGGAGUGGCAGAAAGGAAGAAUAGGACAGUAGUGGAAAUGGCUAAAAGUAUGCUGUAUGAGAAAGGACUACCAUUUGAAGCUUAUUAAACAGAUGUCCUACAAGUGGAUUGGAUAGUGUCACACCAUUUGAAGCUUACAGUGGAAGAAGACCUGGGAUCAAACAUCUCAAAGUAUUUGGUGCUGUGUGUUAUUCUCUUAUACCUGGAGAUUUAAGACACAAGCUGGAAGCAUCAAGUGUCAAAGGAAUCUUUAUUGGAUAUGGAGCUUGUGAUAAGGGAUAUAGAAUUCUAAAUCCAUCUACCAUGAAAGUGAUCAUAUCCCGAGAUGUAGUGUUUGAUGAGAAUGGAAAGUGGAAUUGGGAAGAAAAUAAAGUGAAAGAGAUAUGUGUUCCUUUAAUUUCAUCUGAUUUUAGAAAAAUAGAUGAUAUUGAAGUUGGAGAGUCCUCUCAGUCAUCAUCUUCCAUUUCUUGUGAAAGAUUAAGUGCUCAUGAUGUAUGUGCACAAACUCAUUUUGUGGAUACAGAAACUUUUGACUCAACUCCUUUGAAAUGGAGAAACCUGAGUGAGAUAUAUGAACAUUGCAAUCUGUACAUUGUUGAACCUGAAAAUUUUGAAGAUGCUGCAAAGGAUGAAGCUUGGAAAGUUGCUAUGCAAGAUGAAAUUGAUAUGACAGAGAAGAAUCAGACCUGGAACUUGGUGAAUAGACCAACUGACAAACCUGUAAUUGGAGUAAAGUGGGUAUACAAGACCAAACUGAAUCUAGAUGGAUCUGUGCAGAAAAACAAAGCAAGGUUGGUGGCUAAAGGAUAUGCACAGAAGCCUAAUGUGGAUUAUAACGAGACAUUUGCACAUGUUGCAAGGUUGGACACUAUACAAACAUUGAUUGCUCUAGCUGCAAAGAACAAUUGGCAGUUAUUUCAAUUAGAUGUUAAGUCUGCCUUCUUGAAUGGUGUUCUUCAGGAGGAAGUGUAUGUGGAUCAGCCAGAUGGAUUUAUUGUAGAAAGGGAAGAGAACAAAGUGUACAAGUUGAACAAGGCUCUUUAUGGACUGAAACAAGCACCAAGGGCUUGGUACAGUGAAAUUGAUGCUUAUUUUGAAGACUGUGGGUUCAAAAAGAGUGAUAGUGAAGCAAUUUUGUAUACAAAAGGAGAUAAGGAUAAAGGAAUACUCAUUGUGUCAAUUUAUGUUGAUGAUAUUAUUUAUACUGGCAGUAGCAUUGAAAUGAUACAAGAAUUCAAGGCUAAUAUGAUGCAUAAGUAUGAAAUGACAGAUUUGGGUUUGCUACAUCAUUUUCUUGGAAUGGGAGUUAUGCAAACUGAAAGUAGUAUUUUCAUUCAUCAAAAGAAGUAUGCUACUUCUUUACUUGAGAAGUUUGGGUUACAGGAUUGUAAAUCUGUUAGUAUUCCACUUGUUCCAGGUGAUAAACUGAGAAAGAAUGAUGAUAGUGGAGCAGUUGAUGUAGCAUAGUUCAGAAAAAUUGUUGGCAGCUUGUUGUAUCUCACUGCAACUAGACCAGAUAUCACGUAUGCCUCUUGCUUACUAGCAAGAUUUAUGCAUUGCUCAACUAAUAAGCACUAUGGAACUGCAAAAAGAGUGAUGCGAUACAUACAAAGAACCUUAGACUAUGGUUUGGAGUAUAAGAAAGGUCAAGGAGUAAUGUUGUUUGGAUUCUAUGACAGUGACUGGAGUGGAUCAGAGGAGGAUAUGCGAAGUACUUCAGGGUAUGCAUUCUCUUUUGGAAGUGGGGUAUUUUCUUGGUCCUCAGUCAAGCAACACUGUGUUGCAUUAUCCACUGCAGAAGCAGAGUACAUCAGUGCAGCAGAAGCUACUGCACAGGCAACUUGGUUGAGCUUUGUGUUGGAAGAUUUUGGUGAAACACAGACUGUGGCAACUCCGUUGAAAUGUGAUAGCACCUCUGCUAUUGCAAUUACUAAGAAUCCCAUUUUCCACCAGAAAACCAAGCACAUCAAUCGAAGGUAUCAUUUUAUCAAGGAGGCUCUGCAGAAUGAAAUCAUUGAUUUCGUGUACUGUCCAACCAAAGAUCAAGUUGAAGAUAUAUUCACAAAGGCACUGGCCAAGGAGCAGUUUUGUUAUCUCAGAGAGAAAUUGGGAGUAAGAUCAGUUCACAAUUUAGAGGGAGUGUUAAUGUGUAAAUUGAUGAAUUGAUUUAAGUAAAUUACAAAUAUGUUUAGUGAUGUGUCUUAGCUCAUAGGCUAAGAUUCAGUGAUUCAUUUUAAAUAUGUUAGUUGAGUCUCAUAGGACUUGGUAGUAUACAAAUGUCUUAAGCUUAGUGGAGUAUGAAUUGGUUGGUUGAGAUUGAAUUGAGGAUCUGUCUCUUUCUCUCUCUCCUCCAACGAUUAUUACAUUAAAAAGUGUGUGAGCUCACAAUCUGUGUGAGAAGCAUAUUCCUUGAAAAAAUGGAGAACUUUCAGAGAGCACUCUCGCACUGAGUUUCAAGGAAGAAACAUUCUUCUUCUUCUUCUCUUCUUCUUUCUUCAAUAAAACAGCUGUAUUCUUCUUUAUUCUCUCUAACAUCUUUAGAAGUUUCCUUAAUAAUAACGAUAUAAAAAGUUCGAAGUUUUUUUUUUUAUUUUUUUAUUUUUUUUUAUUAAUUGAAAUUGUAAUCGGAAAUUGUUUGGUAAAAAUCACGGGCGGAGCUAAUGCAUGCCUAGUAUGUGCAGGCUGUGCAGCUGCGCUCACUUGGAAAAAUAAUGCAGGCUUUGUUCGAUUAAUUUUGGAGUGGCAAAUUAUAGAACCUGAGCGUAGUAAAACCUCCACUUAGAAAAGUAGUGGAGGCUUUGUCCCAAUUUGUAAUUUCAUAAUUUAACUAUAUUUAUGAGUAAUUAAAAUUUUGGCUCUGUUACUGAUAAAAUUCAGCCUUAGUAAAACAAAUGGCAACUUCAAGUGAUUCAAAAACCAAAAGUAGCAUUAUGAACAACAAAUAUACGUAUAGGAAAUAUAAAGAUCAACGAAUUAAAAAAUCCAAUAACUACUCAUGAUCACUCCCAAAGAUGUAGAGUACUAGUACUAACUCUAAUGCCAAGUAGCUAAUCUGUUUUCACUUGCAUUGCAAACUUUUGAGCGUCUUGGCUGACAGAUCAAAUGCAAUGGUGCAGUCCAUGGUGGAAGACUUCUUCUUCUUCAUUAUAAGCAUCAGUUCAACCUUUCCAGUCACUUUAGCCGCACUGUUAAGAGUCAACACCCCGCUGCUCAAUUCACUGCCAAGAUUGGAACCACUUAAUGCACUCGAACUCAAGCUCACCUCGACAUUCAUUUUUUUGGUGGAAAGCAUUCCAGCCUUGCUCUUUGGAAUAACUACUUGCCCAACAGCCGCGCCUUGGUGCAAAAACGUGACAGUGCUUGCAUCAAACUUGUAAGGACCCCAGUUUGUAUUUUUCACCUUGAUUUGGGUUGUGAAUUUUGUAUCGAAUGAAGGUGUUGCCAGGACAGAGUUGAGUUCUUGGACGUUGAUGUUGCCUAGCCUGACCUUAGGAGUCUUAACUUUCAUGACAGUGAGACUGAUCACAGUUAUGACAAUGAUCUGAAACACAAUGAAAACACCAACAUAAAUGGCCAACUUGAUUCUCUUCUUGCGUUUGAGCUCAUCGGCUGAUUGCAAAGACUCUGCAUCACUUCUCUGGUAACCAUUUUCCUGUGCCAAGGGAUAGGCCUGGUUGGUUUUCUCAGCCAUGUUUCUUUUGUUUUCUGGUAUGCAAUGGGGAGGAAACUUUCCCUACCUUUGUUUCGUGGGUUCGGUUUUCUUGGAUUGAACUUGAUAGUGGAGGGAGUUGUUUGUGGAAUUAUUGGAAGAGUAGCGUGCUAUAUAUAGUGUUUGAAGUUUGGCCUAUUUUCAAUGAGUUAAGAGGGGGAAUGUAUUUCCAGGAAAUCGCGAGUUAGGGUAGAAUUUUAUUGCUGACGCCAAACGCGUCCAAAGCCGAAUGUGAAAACUUACUUUUGACUUCUAGAUGAUGGAUGAGUUUUGAGAGGACUUUUAGCAUAUUAAUCAUCAAGAGAAGCUUCGAUUCUAUCCGUUGGCAUACACCACAUCUCCCAAAUGGCAGGUGAGAUUGUGAACCAUUACUCUAUAAUAAUCACCCUUCACUAAUCAAAUUGUUUAUAGUAUUAUCAACAUUUAUAUUUUCUUAAUUUUACUGAUUCUGUUGUCCAAUAAGGUUUCCUCUUCAAUUAUUGCUUGUGUGACACGCCCCGAUCCCGAUAUUUCCCCGAAUACUAGGAUAGGCACGUGCUGGCCGACACCCGAGGGUGACGAAAGCCAUUUAUUAAGUGCAAAUGCUGAAACAACGGAUAUAUAAGACUUAUAAAUAUAAAAGAAUAAAGAAUAUGCAUUUAAGGAACGUGUUCAGAGCAUACAACUAACUAGAACAUCGAAAGAAAUAAUAUAAAUUGGAGUGAACAAAAGAAUGGAUCCUACACCGAAAGGACUCGAAGAUGCUGAAGCGGAAGUGCCUGGAUGUCAGGAUUGUACGCCUCGAUUCUAAGUCCUGAAGGGGGCGCAAAACAAACAUGAGUGGACCAAGUUGAUAUAUAUAUAGUAAAACAGUUAUCAACGUACUAACCCCCAGGUUUUAUGAAAACACAUAUAUAAUGAUAAACAUAGGUUUUCCAAAACCUAGCAUGCCGUGCAAUAUCUCAAAUCAUAACUUGUAUAUAUAAUAAUCACUAGUGAAUUGUCCGAUAACCCCCAGGCCCCAUGCCGACUCCCCGUCUCUGAGCAGACAAUCAGAGGAAAAAUACACUUCAGGCCCCAUGCCGGCUCCCCAUCCCUGUGCUAAAUAGCCAAAGGAAACAUACUCCAGGCCCUAUGCCAACACCAAACCGUCGCCCGGGACGGACCGGAAUCUAUCCCUACGUCCCGUAGCGGAAAGGACCACUAGGUAAGUACAAAACCACUGAACAUAUUUAUAUUGAAAAACAACUUCGUAGUAUAAAGUCAUCCAUCAUCUAUACUACAAAGAGGUGUUCUAAACAUGUUCUAAAUAUCAUAUCGUCAUCCAUCGGAUAUUCUAUAAGGACAUGGGUUAUAGGAAAAAUAGUAAUAAUUCAAUCUAGCCUCAGUAAGCAUACUAUCUCAUAAAGUACUUCAUAAAACAUAAGUAUUAAAUCAUGCUUUUCAUGUAUGCAUUUCUAUUAAUAAAACAUGCAUUUUUAGAAGGGGUCCACUCACCGUACACCGAUGAUGCAAAGCUGUACCAAAAAGGUAUAGCGGAAUCACCGUUAAUAAUUUCACCUAUUCACAUAAAGGAGUACCUUUGGUCAAACUCUAUUCAAACUAAGUCAACAGUCAACUGGUCAGAGGUCAAAGUCAAUUGGGCUUUGAAUUGGGUUGGGCUGAAAAGGGCCUUAAAGGUUUUGAGGAAAAGGGCUUUCAGCCCCUUAACAGAAAAUGGCCCAAAGGGCCCUAAAUUCCUAAAACAGAAAAUAAAAUAAAUAACCUUAAAAGGUUUUUGGGUUGGGUCAUGGGCCACAUGCCCUAAACAUAAACGGCCCGAGGGCCUUUGGGUCCUAAAACAAUAACAAUUAAAUUAAAUUAAAAAAAAUAAUUAAAAGGAUAUGGGUUAGGAUUUGGGCUUCCCCACCACACGGGCCUAAGGCCCUCUUGCUACAGGAACCGGCCUGGAAGGCCUGGCCUCACCGGAGCACCACCACCGGAGCUUCACAGCUCCGGCCGACUUCCACACACAACCCUAGACUUCGAUCUAGGUACCAAAACGAAGAGCAAGACGAGGGGAGAAUUUCUAUACCUUCCUUUCGUCGUGGAACGACCGGAGAUGGCCGGAAUAACCCCCGAGGUCGCCGGAGUUGGGUGUGCUUACACCCGGCUUCGAUUUCGUCCUAUAACCUCCAAAAAUCACGAAUUAACUCCAAUUAAACCUCAAUCUCGCAAGAAUCAAGGACGAAAAGAGAGAAUUAGGGGCUUACCUAACCGGAGAUUGAAAAUCUCGCCGGAGCUCCUUUUCCGGUUCUCUGGGGUCGCGGGAACGAGAGGGAGAGAGAGAGAGAGCAGGACGCGGUGAUGAAGGGUGAUGGGCUUCCUCGCGUGGGGAGAUGGGUGCGUGCGUGUGUGCGCGGUGCAGAGAAGAGGGAGAGAAGUGAGAGAUGAGAGAGAGCCGAGAGGGAGAGACAUGAAGAAAGAAAAGAAAAACAAAAAAAAGAAGAAGAAAGAAGGGAGUUCACGGGGGGGAAAGAGAGAAGAAAGAGAAAUUAGUUGGGGGGCUGCCACGUGGCAGAUUUAGAAAGAAAAGGGAUCCAAUGCUUUGGAUCCUGAUUUGGUAGACAAAAAAGAUGAAAUUGAUAUAUUUAAAACAUUUAGGGGUAAUUAAAAACAUAAAUCUUUAUAAUUAGGGGGCAGGUGUUACAAUCUUCCCCCCUUAUAAAAAUUUCGUCCCCGAAAUUUAAAAUUACUACUAAACUGAAAUACUCUAAAAUAGUAAGAAGAAUAUAUAUAUAUAUAUAUAUAUAUAUAUAUAUAUAUAUAUAUAAAGAGAAAUCUAGUGAGAGUGGGUGCAUCAAAGAGAAUAUGUCACACCGUCGCGAGCGGGUUGCAAAAUCCUCUAUCAUGCCUCCAAACUCUUACUUUCAUCCCCAUCAGUGUAAAAAUAGAAAACAUACUUUAAUAAGAUAUAAGGUCAAAAACAUAUAUUGACGUAAGGUCAAAAAUAAGUACAUAAAAUACGAUAACGUCAAAAUAGAGAUAUACUAACAUAUAGGUCGAAAACUCGAGCUGAACUUAAAAUUGAAAAUGGAAAACACUUUCCUCUAAACAUUUGUAACAACAAAAACAAAUAACUAAAGUAAAGGAAGUUAAAAUACUUAUACUGAAAACCAAAACUGAAAAUGGAAAUGGGUCUCGCCCAAGAAUUCGUAACUUCACACUCCGAGAAAAGAUGUCUUUGGGUCGAGCCCCAAGAAUAUCAAUUCUUAAUCUGCAUCAGCUGCUGUAGACGAAUCUUCUUGUCCACUUGCUUAACGAACCCAACGAAUAAGUUAUCGAUACAACAGUCGGCCGCCCGUGAUAUCGAUCAUAUAUUUGUUGUCUCGAUAAGCAAGCAGUAAUUUCCUGAUGGUGCACAAUUUCACAUGUCGUAAAUUCGAUCCUCCGAAUACAAGCUCGCACAACUCCUCUAACAACCAAUGUUGCAUGUAGCAACUUUCGUACCAUGCCGCAACAAGUGCCAUACUCAAACCGAACAAAAUACGAACUGUCGUCGUAAAACUUUAUCCAGCACCAAGCAUCCUAUCCUCCUCAGUUCUUCCAAAUGUGACCAACUACUCCAGAGUAUCACUAGUAAAGAACCCAUUUGAAAAUUGUACCUUGGGAUUCAAGAGAAGUGGCUACCAUGUUAGUAAUAGACCCAAAAGCUCGAACCAAGCAAGCAGAAAACGAGAAGUCAUCUUCCUCAACACGCAGUAUCUCUUGGGAGUUGUUCUAAUGCCCAAUCCACUUCUCCAUUUUUGCUUAGUUGCAGACUUCUAGUCAAACAAAGUCAAAGUUGGAGGAAAGAAGAAGGACUCUCAAGUGAUCAACGUAAAAACCCCAUAAGAGCACACCCCAUUCAAUAGAAGUUUAAAGAUCUUCCGAUUCUCACCUCAACAGCACUGUGGUGACAUUCCAGAGUGCACCAAACAGAUCUGCUAUAAGUGUUUCGACAACCACGUAUUCAUAACAAUAAGGUUCAGAAGUGAAGCAGUGGAAAUAUACGUUGAGACGAACACAUAUCAUCAUAAAAAAGGUCUACCAGAGUAAGAUAUGAUAGUUAUGAAUGGUAGCAACAUAAUGAGUGGUGACCAUUCAAUUCAGCAUGAAGAUAGUGAUGCAAUAUGCUAUUCAUCUGCACCACAACCUUUCACCAGUAUCUUACCAAAAGACGACUCAAACUUCACAUCCUCGAGGAACUCUUUCUGGUAAGUCUGGUAAGCUUGUCAAAAUAUUAUGCUCCCAACAUUCCUGCCCAAAUCGAUGAAAAUUGAGCGCACACUUCCGCCAAAUCGAUCAAUCGUGAAUUCCUCAUUGAUUGAGCGAGAAACCAUGUCGAGAAGGCUAAAAGAACACUCAAGAAUUUGAGAGUCAAAACAAGUUUAUUAAAACUGGAGCACAAGAUAUUGCGAUUUGAACGAGAAACCAUGCCGAGAACAAACGUUUUUUUUUUUUUACACCCUCCGUAUAAUAUCCCGGCAUGAUCUGGUUCACAUUGAGAAACAAACAAGUGAAGGAAAAUGAAGAUGCAGAAAUAGAAGUCACUGUUUAUGAUUAUUUGGCUAAUCAUCACCAUAAGGUUGACGGGUUUCUUAGCCAAAAGGGAAACAGGUCUAAGCUCAAAGAAUAGUUAACAACUGCUUAUAAGAUUUGACGAGGCCAAAGACAUUUCGAGAUUCACAAUACUUUGUGAGAGCUGUUUCAAAGUUCAUAAAUUAAACAUAGAACCUUCGAAUCAACAGAAUGACGAAGAAGAAAGAUACAAAGCAGCCUGCGUACGCAUGCAGUGACACGAUUGGCUACCUUAAAGUGAUGCCCGUGAGCAAACCAAAGCUCAAUGAGUCUAGAGAAUUUUAUAGCAAAGCUCGAUCUUCAUACAAUGAUGAAUAUGGUAGAGUAUCAAGCCAUUACGCUGAAAAUUACAAGGUUAAACAGUUAGUGGACAAGAGCACUAGUCAGUUGGGCCACAAGCAAGAGGCUAAGUUCACCUUUACGUAAAAGUGCGUGGACAAGGAGUUAGGGUUUACCGCCGAGUACCAGACCCCGGUGAAAUUCAAGGAGUCUAAUUAUCCAAACAAGACUGGAUCUUCAUCAUCCAAGUCCAACUACCAUAACAACAAGAAUUGUAACUCCAUUUAGGGAAAUUGAUGGGAAUAGCAUCUGCUACCGAGGAGUUUCCCAAGAAAAGUAAUUAAUGCGAACGAAGUCAACACUCAAAGAAUUUGGUAUGAAACUGACGGUCAAAGGUUAAUGAACUUGAUUUCGUCAUUGGAAUAAGCAAGAAGGUUAUCAAUAGAACAAUCGACAAAGAUUCAUUCUAAAGAUUCACACGAAUGUCCUCAAUGGAAACGAGUCUGAGAACAUUGAUUUUCUCCCAAGAUUUCGAUGCAAAGUCGACUCCGCCCGCAAUUCCUAAGGAACGCAUGUUGCAGAGUGGCAUCGCCAUUUCGAAUUUACAACUAGUCUUGACCAGACUUCCUCAAACUGAGAUUUCUAAAACACGUCGCUUCCAAGUAACACCGACUAUGCCCGUCAUUCCCAAGGAAUGCACGUCGUAGAGUAUCAAUCUGAAGCUGAAAGUCGUCCAACAAAUCAAACACGUCACCGAUGAGGCACAAUCCCGACACGAAUUUUCUUAUAUUUCAACCGGAAUGUGACAAUUCAAACAGAGAAAAGCUCGCACAACUGUGCCGAAUGACAUCAAAUCUAGAAGUCCUGACAUCCAAAUGAUGUCAAAACCGACACACUACUUUAGUAAGAGAAUAUCCUAAGUAUGCUCUGAACAAACCACGCUCUGAUACCAAUCUGACACGCCCCGAUCCCGAUAUUUCCCCGAAUACUAGGAUAGGCACGUGCUGGCCGACACCCGAGGGUGACGAAAGCCAUUUAUUAAGUGCAAAUGCUGAAAACAACGGAUAUAUAAGACUUAUAAAUAUAAAAGAAUAAAGAAUAUGCAUUUAAGGAACGUGUUCAGAGCAUACAACUAACUAGAACAUCGAAAGAAAUAAUAUAAAUUGGAGUGAACAAAAGAAUGGAUCCUACACCGAAAGGACUCGAAGAUGCUGAAGCGGAAGUGCCUGGAUGUCAGGAUUGUACGCCUCGAUUCUAAGUCCUGAAGGGGGCGCAAAACAAACAUGAGUGGACCAAGUUGAUAUAUAUAUAGUAAAACAGUUAUCAACGUACUAACCCCCAGGUUUUAUGAAAACACAUAUAUAAUGAUAAACAUAGGUUUUCCAAAACCUAGCAUGCCGUGCAAUAUCUCAAAUCAUAACUUGUAUAUAUAAUAAUCACUAGUGAAUUGUCCGAUAACCCCCAGGCCCCAUGCCGACUCCCCGUCUCUGAGCAGACAAUCAGAGGAAAAUACACUUCAGGCCCCAUGCCGGCUCCCCAUCCCUGUGCUAAAUAGCCAAAGGAAACAUACUCCAGGCCCUAUGCCAACACCAAACCGUCGCCCGGGACGGACCGGAAUCUAUCCCUACGUCCCGUAGCGGAAAGGACCACUAGGUAAGUACAAAACCACUGAACAUAUUUAUAUUGAAAAACAACUUCGUAGUAUAAAGUCAUCCAUCAUCUAUACUACAAAGAGGUGUUCUAAACAUGUUCUAAAUAUCAUAUCGUCAUCCAUCGGAUAUUCUAUAAGGACAUGGGUUAUAGGAAAAAUAGUAAUAAUUCAAUCUAGCCUCAGUAAGCAUACUAUCUCAUAAAGUACUUCAUAAAACAUAAGUAUUAAAUCAUGCUUUUCAUGUAUGCAUUUCUAUUAAUAAAACAUGCAUUUUUAGAAGGGGUCCACUCACCGUACACCGAUGAUGCAAAGCUGUACCAAAAAGGUAUAGCGGAAUCACCGUUAAUAAUUUCACCUAUUCACAUAAAGGAGUACCUUUGGUCAAACUCUAUUCAAACGAUUGAAUUUGGGAAAACGGACUUCAAAAACGAGUCCAGGACGUCGAAAUUAGCCUAGGAGAGGUCCUGGACGAAACCUCGAAAAGUCAACUCAAAAAGUCAACGUUGAUCGUUGACCGAUCAAAGUCAAAGUCAACUCUGACCGUUGACCGUUGACUAAGUCAACAGUCAACUGGUCAGAGGUCAAAGUCAAUUGGGCUUUGAAUUGGGUUGGGCUGAAAAGGGCCUUAAAGGUUUUGAGGAAAAGGGCUUUCAGCCCCUUAACAGAAAAUGGCCCAAAGGGCCCUAAAUUCCUAAAACAGAAAAUAAAAUAAAUAAAAACCUUAAAAGGUUUUUGGGUUGGGUCAUGGGCCACAGGCCCUAAACAUAAACGGCCCGAGGGCCUUUGGGUCCUAAAACAAUAACAAUUAAAUUAAAUUAAAAAAAAUAAUUAAAAGGAUAUGGGUUAGGAUUUGGGCUUCCCCACCACACGGGCCUAAGGCCCUCUUGCUACAGGAACCGGCCUGGAAGGCCUGGCCUCACCGGAGCACCACCACCGAAGCUUCACAGCUCCGGCCGACUUCCACACACAACCCUAGACUUCGAUCUAGGUACCAAAACAAAGAGCAAGACGAAGGGAGAAUUUCUAUACCUUCCUUUCGUCGUGGAACGACCGGAGAUGGCCGGAAUAACCCCCGAGGUCGCUGGAGUUGGGUGUGCUUACACCCGGCUUCGAUUUCGUCCUAUAACCUCCAAAAAUCACGAAUUAACUCCAAUUAAACCUCAAUCUCGCAAGAAUCAAGGACGAAAAGAGAGAAUUAGGGGCUUACCUAACCGGAGAUUGAAAAAUCUCGCCGGAGCUCCUUUUCCGGUUCUCUGGGGUCGCGGGAACGAGAGGGAGAGAGAGAGAGAGAGCAGGACGCGGUGAUGAAGGGUGAUGGGCUUCCUCGCGUGGGGAGAUGGGUGCGUGCGUGUGUGCGCGGUGCAGAGAAGAGGGAGAGAAGUGAGAGAUGAGAGAGAGCCGAGAGGGAGAGACAUGAAGAAAGAAAAGAAAAACAAAAAAAAAGAAGAAGAAAGAAGGGAGUUCACGGGGGGGAAAGAGAGAAGAAAGAGAAAUUAGUUGGGGGGCUGCCACGUGGCAGAUUUAGAAAGAAAAGGGAUCCAAUGCUUUGGAUCCUGAUUUGGUAGACAAAAAAGAUGAAAUUGAUAUAUUUAAAACAUUUAGGGGUAAUUAAAAACAUAAAUCUUUAUAAUUAGGGGGCGGGUGUUACAUUGUGAACCAUCACAAGCAAGAAGUCAAAACUCUUGAAGACUGAAAGUUUUGGUCCUACUACAAAAAACACUUUGCGCGAUGAAAUAAGAUUUGUUGCGCAAAGUAUGAAUUCGUUGCUCAAAACCGUGCACGACAAAAUUUUUGUCGCUAAUGGUUUGUCACGCAAAGCUCAUGAAGAGAGGGUUGCGCGAUCAAAAUUAAUCUUCGUCGCGCAAAGUUUUUGGAUUUUUUUUGGUAUUUUAUUUAAUUAAAUUAAUUUAAUAUUUUGCAUGACGAAAAUUGUUUUAUUAUUUCUCUUAUUUUAAUUUAAUUAUAGUAAUUGUUUGCAUGGCGAAAUAUUUGGUAGCGCAAGAUUUUUUGAGUUUUUACUUUUUUUUUAAUGUAAUUUAAUUUAUGAUGACUUUAUUUUUCAAUUGCUUUAAUUUAAAUUGACACAUUCAAAAUAAAAUUACAUACGAAAAAUACUGAUCAAAUUAUUCAUAAUAUAAGUUAUAUAUAUAUAUAUAUAUAUAUCUAAAAAUUAAUAAAGUACAUUAAGAAAAUCCUAAUGCAAGUAUAUUGUAGUGGUGCUGGCAUGGGAUAUGGUCCGAUAGCAUCCUAAUUCUUAACAUCUCAACUUUCUCCGUCAAAGUCACGACGAUUCCCUACGAGAAAAAAAUGGUCAAAUAACCAAGAAAACAACACAAAAUAAUACCAAAAAAUUGGCAUACCCCAAAUCUGACCCUCAAACUCCCCCCUCACCAUAUACCCGACCCCAAACCCCACCUUAAAUCCAAAAUUAGCUCCAAAAACACAUUAAUGAAAAAAAAUAUUAAAUUUUAGGGAGAAAAUACCUUUUAGCAAGAUUGAGAGUGAGUGAGAGAUAGGAAGGAGAGAGUGUGAGACAAUGAGAGGAGAUAGUGAGAGAGAGAGAGAGAGAGAGAGAGAGAGAGAGAGAGAGAGUCAGAGGAGUGAGUGUGAGAGGGUCGGAUUUGGGGAGAGGGGAAGAGAAAGUAAAGGUAAGAGAAUAGAGCGAGACAUUGAGACAUUUGUGGAGUUAUUUUGGUUUUAAAAACCGUAUCACUUUGUGCAACGAAUAAUACGAUUGUGCAUGACAAAAGAUUGGUCACAUAAAGCCUUAAAAAAAAAUUCCCACAUCCCAUUUUUGGCGCCCACCCAAAUUUUUUGGAUUUUGCACGAUAAAAAGAUUGGUUGAGCAAAGGUUUGCGCAACGAAAGAUUGGUCGUGCAAAGUUUUAAUCAUCAACAUAAGAUUCAAUUUUAUCCGUGGCAUACACCACAUCUCUCAAAUGGCAGGUGAGAUUGUAAGCCAUUACUCUAUAAUAAUCACCCUUCACUAAUCAAAUUGUUUAUAGUAUCAUCAAAAUUUAUAUUUAGGUAAUUUAGCCAAAGGUCAAUAAAAUUUUUACUAUUAAGCCAUAUAUCAAUGACAUAUUUGUGUUUUGGACUUUAUCAAUGAUAUAUUUUUAUUAAUUAGGCAUAGGUCAAUGAUUAAUGCCACAUAGGCUUUAAGUCAUUAUAAAUAGUUAGAAUUUGACUAUUCUAUCAUUUACUGUCUCUUUCUCUCUCUAUAAAUGUUAUAUGGGGUUAAGCUAUUAUAAAUAUGGAUUUAGAUCAUCUCCCGAUCAAUUUGUGGAGAUCCUUCGAGCCGAUGGAUCUCAUCCAUUGAUACAAAUCCAACGGCCAAAAUCUCUUAUCCUUCCUCUUUUUCCCUCAACUCUUCUCUUUUUCCCUCACUUCGAAGCUCUCAACCUCGAACCACUAACUCCUCAAAUUCGAAAUUAAAUUCAACCCCACCUCAAAAUCAGCCCCAACAUUACCACAACCCACCCAACCCACGACCACCAAUUGAAAGUCCCUCACCUUACCCUCUCCAAAAUCAGCCCCAAACACCACCACAUCCCUCAGUUGCAAGUCCCUUGACCUUAAAAUCUUAGUCGAUGUUAAUGAAACAACAAAGAGAGGGGUCGUGCAAACCAAUGUCUUUUGGUUGCAGAGAUCUUUUUCAUAACUAUGGAAGAAUUAGAGUGAGAGAAAUCUCAAAGAUGAAGAAGAAGGAAGAGAUGACAAAUAAAAAACUAAAAUAGUAAGGGAUAGUGAAAAAAUAAAUCAGACUUAGUGCACAUAUGACCUGCAAUUGAAUUUGAGGUUUCUUAACAACGAUGCGGUGUAGGGGUGCGAGGGAGAAGUAGGAGUUGAGGGGGAAGAGAGGCGGGGGAGGAAGAUUUGGCCGUUAGAUUUCUAUUCCUAUAGAACUGAUCUUGAGAGGAUCUGAAUCCAACAAAUAGUUAGAAAAUGUAUAUUAUAUCACUCUCUCUUGCCCUACGUUUACAUAAAGGAGUCUACUCAAGUAAAAAAAAAAAGGGGAACCAAGAAACAGACAUUGCAUUACAAUGUUCUAAUGCAAAUGUAAAAAACAUAACCAGGAAACAGACACUACAUUACAGUGUAUGAAUCUAAAUGUAAACAAUAGAGCUAGGAAACGAACAUUGCAUUACAGUGUCUGAAGCUAAAUGUAAAAUCAUGAGUUGCAUGAGGUGUGUAGGAGACAUGUGAGUGAUGGAAAAAGUAGAACUAGGAAACGGACACUGCAUUGCAGUGUCUGAAUCCAAAUGUACAAAGGAACAUGUUGGAGGUGUGUGAGUGAUGGAAAAAAUGAAAACAAUAAAUAGACACUACAACUCAGUGUCUCAAUCCAAAUUUAAAAAGCAGAAUAGAGAAACAGACAUUGCAUUGCAGUGUCUGAUCCGUAUUAACUUAUUCAAAAUAUAAAACUAUAAGAAAGAGAGUGUUAAUUGAAGUGGGUGCCAGCUGUAGUUGCAGAUUUUGUAAUUUUUGUUUAUUUUAAAUGCAUUUAAGUAUCACAAUACAUGAUUGAUCUAUUUAUAAAAUUAACAUAAAUAUUGUUGGUCUAUUGUUGCUUGUGAACCAUCAUAAGCAAGAAGUUCAAAACUCUUGAAGACUGAAAGUUUCGGUCCUUUAGAGCCGAGGGAUUAAUAUAAAUUAUGAAUCUAAUAGAUGCGAAUACAAAGAUGUAAACUUACUAGCCACAAUUUAAAAAUCUAUCAAAGUUGCAAGUGGUGGACUGUCUUUGUGGAUAAGGAUUUCCUCUUCAACUUAUUACCUCUUGGAUUCAAACUCCCCAUCCUCAUAGUUUAGAUGAAUUUAAUGUAGAUUAUCCUAUUGUUUGUCAAAAAAAAAAAAAAAUCUAUGUGCGUUAAGGUAGGGAAUAAAAUCACACAACUAGGGCCGUAAAUUAGCUCGAAACAAUUUGAGCUUGACCAGGUUCCACUCGUGUUUGGCUCAUUGAAGUUCGGUUCAUGAAGGAACGGAGCAAAGUUGAAAAUCAAAGUAUAAAAGGAACAAAUGGAAUGUAAAACUUUAUUAUUAAAAACAAAGAACUACAGUUGCCAAGAAGGCUACAUGAACUAAAGAGUCUACAUCUUGACUGAGUUGUUCAUAAUAAAUACAAGCAGUCCUAUAUAUAGAAAGAAAUCCUAAACUUAACGGGCAAGGAAUCCUAAUCCGUGUCCUCCAAGUAAACUAAUAAAAACCAUAAUAAAUUAAUUUUCCAACACCUCUUGUCAAACCAUGGUGGUAACAACAUGAACUUUCCAAGAAGGAAACCAAUGGCCAAGCAGAUGUAGAUUCCAAUUCCAAUGCAACCAACGACAACCGAGAGCAACCAAUGAUGGGAGAAUCCACUCAGUUUAUUUUGAGUUUUCUACUCGUUUGGUUUUGGAUUUGUAAUUUUGUGGGAUUUGGAUUGUGAAAGUUUAAACACUCUUUUGUAUCACCAUUUAUUUAGUGAAAUUCCUCGCUGUUCUUCGUCCAUGGACGUAGGCUUUUAUGCCAAACCACGUUAAUCUCUUGUGUUGCUAUUUUGAGAUUGUUUGUUUUAGCAUUCGUUUAUUAUGUUGAUAUUUAGUAUUUUGUUAGAAUUUGCUUCCACUUGCGCAUAAAAGUACGACACAAAGAAGGCACGGCCUCCUGACUAACCACUGUAUGAUGAUUUGGUUUCUUUGUAUUUAUUUUACAUUCAGGGUUUCUUUAAGGAAAUUAAAAUAAAUUAACACCACUCAUACCAAGCUGAACCAAUCUUCGUGACCCGGGAUUGGGAUCAAAUUUUUUAGAAGCCCAUGAUCAUGUCAAUUUCAGCCGAGGGAUACGUUUCCCCAACGAUGUUUUUGUUUUAAAUUUGUGUUGAUGAAUACUUUGAAUAUGACUACUAUGAUUGCUUGGAGUAUAUUUAAGGAUACUAAUUCAAAUAAGGCACUACUUGGUGCGUAAAGAACUAACCAAAGUUGUGGGUAUAAGUUGCACAUAGGAUAAGUAAACAAUUUUAGAGGCUAAACGUCGGUAUUUGCAAAAUAUGGCAAGGGAGUUUAAAAUGUCUUGUGGUGAAUAACUAGUCGAGUAUUAGUUGUACAUGUGGUAUUUAGACCUCUUAUUUAAACAACUCUCUCUCAAAAAAUGUGAUAGGACCCAAUCUUAUUUUUAAGACCAAAAUUUGAUUGGUGAUUAUUUAAACAACUAAAACUAAUUAAAAUUUGUUUGUAUGUUUAUUUUAUAGCAAUGACAAACUCUCUCUCAAAAACCUCAAAGAAGACAAGCUUACUGGCCCAAACUUUCAAUAUUGGCUCCGCAAUAUUCGCUAUGUCUUAACUGUUGAGAAGUUAGCAUUCCAUAUGGAUGCGGACCCUCCUACUAAGAAGUUAUCUGAUAACGCCACUCAACAGAAAAAGGCGUGAAAGGAAGACUUUGUUGGAGGCUAAUGAGACAUCGCAUUGCUAUAUGCUAGUAAACUUGAGUCUCGAACUUCAAAGACAGACAGACAAAUGAAAACCGCCAAAAGUUAUCAUCGAUCAACUUGGGAAGUUGUUCGGAGAAGAUAUCCGCACGGUCUGCUUUGAUGUUGUUAGGGAGUUCAUUUGAUUGAUGACAUAAAGAGGUUUGGGGUUGAUCUUUAUCCUGGUCUUCAACAUAACAUCAUACUGCAAUCUGUACCGGACUCAUUCAGCCGAUUCUUUUAAAUUACCAUACGAAUGACAUCUCGUGUACGACACAAAAACUGGUCCGGAUGACGUCCAUCGCUUGCAAAGAUAUCAAGAGAGAUGAGGGGAGCAAAGAGUUGCUCACUGAUGAGUAGAUUUUAUAUUAUAUAUUUUACCCUAAUCUUAGUAUAUUUUGGUUAAUAUUUUACAAGAAUUUUGAUACUUUGAAUUGUAUUUCUAAUAUAUGACUUUCGACUUCCUCUGGAGCAAAACAGGAUCAAAUGGACGAAUUUUGGAGUAAUUAAUUCUAGUCGGAGGAUGUUCGUGAGUCACUUAGCUUGAUCGUAUCAAAAUCUGGGAUUUUUCCACUAAGCGGUUAUUUUCUGGCGAUAAAAUAAAGGAGCGAUGCGCAGUGCUGGAAAAUGACGUUUUUGGGCUUAAAUUGCGUUUUGGAGCCAAGAUGACCUCGGAUAGGUUUGUGGCCUUCUGGAGAAGUAUUCAGAAUAUUCCAAACAUUAAAUCCAGCUAUAUUGGGCCAGUUUUGGAGUAGCUUAUAGGUCCAAAACGUGGCUGUUUAGAUUUUAGGCGAAUUUUACCAUUUAAUUUAGGGUUAUGUUUCCUAUUUUAUUUUAUUAUUAUUUUUAGUUUCCUAGUGGGAAUAAAUGACCUGUUUUUAGGGUUUGUGUGGGGGGGGGGGCUUAGCAGAUAUAAUUGGUUGGCCGGCUACCAUAUUUCGCUACGCUUUUCUUUUAUGCAAUUUUGGAGACAGAGAGAAUUGUUAGGGUUUUGAAGACUUUUUACUUGAAGCUGCUUUCAAUCAUUUUCUUGAAUAUAUUUUCUAUGAUUCUAAUUAUGAAUAUGCGUAACUAAUUCCUUUUGCUAGGGCGAAGUCUUGGGUCUUAGCAUGAAUAUGUGAUUUUUAUUUAAUUGCUUAUGAUUGAUUGCAUGCAUACUUUGAAUUGUUAAUUACCGGGAAAAAAACUAUCUAAUUGUCUUAAUGUCUGAUCACCAUUAGGAUCUUUAGAAAAUUAAUUUGAUGCAAUUUUGGUCGGAAGGUUCCCUGAAAUUGACGUUGGCUUCUUGUGAUUAAUAAUUAUAAUUUCACUUAGGAUGAAUACCACGUCUUAAGGAUUGCAUGGUUUUUCAAAGGAUUUUCAUAAAGAAUAAUGAGUCUUUCAUGUUCAGAUUUGAUCCGAAUGUCCGAACGGGUUGCAUGUUAGAUAUACGUUCUAUGUUGGAGGUUCCAAGUAGAAUAUGAAUUAGGAAAAUCUAACCUUCAAAGUGGCAUGUGUAGAUCAUAAGUAAUUGGUAAAAGUUCAUAGGAUUGCUAGGUGAUGGUGGAACCCUAGUGCUUUCUUAAUUUGAUUUCUCCCAAAACUGAUUUCUUUUUCCCCCAAUUUUAAUAUUGCAGAUUGUCUUAUCUUUAAUAGUUAAUUUCGUUUUUAAUUUAAGUAGGUUAUAAAAUCAAUCAUCUCAAUUUCUACUUUACAAUAACUAAUUGGAAUUUGGUUAGUUUAGAAUUAUUUAAUAAUCCCUGUGGAGAACAACCUUGCGAGAUUCGUUUAUAUUACAACAACCUUGUGAUUCUUGCAAGUAUAAUAGGAGUUUUUAGCUCGUUCACAUGAGUAGUAAAAUCCCUAUCACUCACCAUGGGAGAAUCAUCUAAAUCAAAGCCCAAAAAGAAAGCUAAAGCCAGUACUUAAAAGUUGAAAGCCAAAAGCCGCUAAGAUCUUAGGUUUUAAUUUUCGUUAAAGGCGAAUUUGAACCACAUUAUUAUAAGUCCAUUGUUCAUUAUUUAAUUUUUUUAUUAAAGGGAUAAACAAGAUCAAUUCAAUCUAAUGAUUUAAUUAUUGACAAAUUAAUGUUUGUAUUAAUUAAUCAAUGUGAUAUAGUUAAAGUGUUUGAGAAGUGGGAGCUUGGGUGAUGCACUUUGUUUGUAUCACGCCAUUAAAUUCAUCGAGUGGAUUCAAAAUGUUUGACAUAGUGUGAGUGCAACUUGAAAGUAUUUUAGAAGUGUCAAGUAAAGUUGUAAGGAGACUACAGAAUUCAAAAGUUUAAUUUGAAGCUCUAAUCCAAUCAAGAGCAUCAAGUUUCCCUUAACCGCAGAUUUGAUGGGGCAAUAGCUCAAGCCAUAAGACCUUAUAGGUUUCAUGGAGUAAUUCUUAUCAGCUUCUAAUUCAUAUCCAAGUGAGAUAUGAGCAUAAACAUUCUUAGAGGCGAUAAUCGAAAAAAACGUACUGGACACCAUUACUCAAUGAGUGAUGAAUGCAUAUAACUGGGACGAAAUUCGUAAUAGUACGAAUUGUCGUGCGCAUCAACUACCUUUUGUGUAAGUGGGAGAUUAUUGGAGUAUGCCCGAAAAGUAAUUGACGUGGCAACACGUAAUUGGUUAUUCAAGGUAACCGAAUGUCGAGUCAUCGACGACAAAAGGCAAGUGAGAACAUUCGCCGAGCACAGGACCUAAUAGUAGAUUAGGAAACUUCGUUAUUGAUUAGAAUGAUCCAAGGAAUAACUAGGAAUAACUUAAGUAGUAAGGACCAGAUGUAAAGAUGUUCCAAUCCUGAUAUACGUAGCCUAUGGAUCUUCGGUCUAAAAUUAUCUUCCUAGCCAUUGGAUGAUGAAAGGACUAUCAAACAUAAAAAAAAAAAAACUUUGCGCGACGAAACACACAUCGUCACGCAAAGUCACUUUGCAUGACAAAACUUUAAAUUUCGUCACACAAAGUCUUUACAAAAAUAAAUAAAUAAAAUAAAAUUAUUUUUUAAAAAAUCUUUGUGCGACGAAACCAAAUAUUACGUCGCCUAAACCCAAUUUAUUUUUGUUUUUAUUUAUUUUUAUAUUAUAAAUUUUAAAAUAUAGUUAUUCUCAUAAGUUUUUAUUAUUUUUUAAAAACUUUUGCACGACAAAUAUCAAUAUUUCAUCGCCUAAACUUUGCUUGACCAAUUUUUCAUUGUGUAAGAUCGUAUCCUUCGUCGCACAAAGUGCUACGGUUUUUAAAACCAAAAUAACUCCUCCACAAUUUUCUCAAUGUAUCUCUCAAGUUCUCAUACCUCUGCUCUCUUUCCCUCUCCCCAAAUCCAACCCCCUCUCUCACACUCAAUCUCUUCUCUCUCUCUCUAUCUCUAUCUCUCACUCUCACUCACUCUCUCAUUAUCUCUUCUCAGCCUCUCCUCUCUCUCUACCUCUCACUUACUCAUCUCUCUCCCUAUCUCUCACUCACUCUUAAUCUUGCCAAAAGGUAUUUUCUCUCCAAAUUUUAAUAUAUUUUACAUUAAUAUGUGUUUUUGCAGUUAAUUUUGGGUUUAGGUGGGGUUUGAGGUCGGGUAUAGGUUGAGGGGUGGAGUUUGGGGUCAGAUUUGGGGUAUGCCAAUUUUAGGGGAGGUUAUGCCCAUUUUUUGGUAUUAAUUUAUGUUUUUUUUUUUAUUAUUUGACCAUGUUUGUUUGUUUUUUUUUUUUGUAGGGAAUCUGUCAGGACUUUGACGAUGAAAGCUGAGGAUUAUGAUGCUAUCGGACCAUAUCCCCCACCACCACCACCCCCAAAACAAACUUGUAUUAGGAUUUUAUUAUUGUAAUUUGUUAAUUUAUAUGUAUAUUAUGGAUAAUUUGAUCACUAAUUUUCAUAUGUAAUUUUAUUUUGAGUAUGUCAAUUUAAAUUAAAGUAAUUAAAAAAAUAAAGGCAUACAAUUAAAUUAAAUUAAAAAGGUAAAAAUUCAAAAAAUCUUGCACUACCAAAUAUUUUGUCGCACAAACAAUUACUAUAAGUAAAUUAAAUAAUAGAAAUAAUAGAAAAAAAAUUCAAUUUAAUUAAAUAAAAAAAAUAAAAACUAAAAACUUUCGUCCGCAAAAUCUUGCACUACCAAAUAUUUCAUUGUGCAAAAUAUUAAAUUAAUUUAAUUAAAUCAAAAAUCAAAAAUAAAAAACUUAGCGUGACGAAAUAUUUUGUCGUGCAAAGUACCUUCGUGUUUCGUUGCGCAAACCCUAUCUUCACGAGCUUUGCACGACGAACCAUGCGUGACAAAAAUUUCAUCGCACAAGGUUUUGAGCGACAAAAUCUUACUUUGCGCAACAAAUCUUAUUUCGUCGCGCAAAGUGUUUUUUGUAGUAGUAUCAACAAAGGCCCAUUUGUGUCAUAUGCAUUAAUAAGUCUUGGACAAAGCAUGUAGUGACAUGGAAUAUGUAUAAAGGUGCUCGUCUAUGAGAUCGAGUUCACUAAAUAUUAACCAACCAUAAAAGUGUACGAAAGGAAGAUUUCCUACUUGUCAAUCAUUCCACACUUUUGAGUUAUAGAUGCUACUAGUACUUAUACAUGAGGCUUCACUGGUUAUCUUGUGUUAAUGAAACUGAUAUCAGUCUCACCUUGAAGCUCUCAAACAAUAGCGGAGCCCUUUAGUGGGAGGUUCGGGAUCAUGUGUAUCAACAUGGAGAUACGUGAAUGCACAAAAAGGAAUCUGUCACCUUCUAGGUGAUCAUGAAGGUUGAUAUUCUAGUAGCCUAUUGACGAUCUAUCUCCAGAAGCAGUCUUUGGCCAAAGCAACGUACAUGAGAUACAUCAUGGCGAUCAUAUUCAUGCUUAGCAUUUGACAAAUGUUCCAUUCUCUAAAAUAUAUGAUUGGAAUAUAGUAGACAAAUGAACUUAAUUGCAUUGUAACUGUAACUAAGGUUCUAAAUAUGUGUUAUAUGAAUUCAAACAUAUGCUAACUAAUCUAGGUAGCUGAAACUCAUUGUUAAAUGUUACUAUUCGGUUUGUAGAUAUUCCUAUAAGGUUGAAUUAGAAUGGUUUCUAACUAUGUAAAAUUGAUGAAGUCUGAAUUUAAUAUGAAUUGUUUAUAGAAAUCUUUUUUCAUUUUAUAUUUGAUUAAUCGGUUUGGGCCUUAUAUUUAUUAUAAGUUACUUGAACUAAAAUAAAUAAGGAAGUCUAGUCCGAUAGAAAAGACUGAAUUAACAAAAUAAAUAAAAUAAUAGCGAAUCAGGCUAAAACCAAAUAACAAAGGGGGUGUGCGGCAAGCCCAAAUGAUGUCUCUUAAAGACAUAUGGCACACAUAUAUAUGAUAGUAGAUUAAAUUGUAAUCUACGUUUGUUGCACCGGACUAUUUCGGACUGGACUAGCUUUAGGGACUAAGCUAGACUGGCUUAGACUAGACUAAGCUGGACUGAUUUAGGGAAGUGUUUGGUGUAGCAUUGGACUAAGAAGCAGGAUUACAAUAUUAUAUUAUUUUAUAUUAAUUUACUAUAUAUCGAUUAAUAUUUAUUAUUAUUAUUUCUUUUUCUUUUUAUUUCUAGAAUCCUCUUCUUCAUUUUGGAAAGAUCUCGUCCAUAAACCCACUUAGGCAAACUGACAUUCCACUUUGAGAAAACAAAGCAGCAAUCCAUCUCGCAAAGCCUUCUCUCUCGCGGGUAACUCUCAAUUGUUCAUCAAUCUUUGCUCUUCAAUUAUUAAUCUAUCUCUUAUCAAUUUUAUUUUAGAUUUUGUGCUUAAACCUUCAUGGGUUUUAAUGGAUAUUUCAAAAUUUUGUUUUCUGCCCCUUUCCCUUUUUCCCCAUUUUUGUCCCUCCGCCUCUCCCUCCCAUUUCCCUUUUCUCCCCAUCUUUGCACCUUUUUUUUUUGUUACCAGUGUCUCCCUCCCCUUCCUUUUGUUUCUCUCAUUUCUCCUCUGUAUAAUGUUCUGUCUCCCAUCGCUCUCUUUGUAUUUAUUUUUUCUAUUUUCUUCAAAUUUGGUUCUUGUAUUUUCUAGGCAAAUCAUAGUUGGUCAAGAAAAAUCACUCAGAGUCAUUGCACCAAUGCUAAAGUUUUCAAUCUUGCUGUCAGCGGAAGAAUCUGGAUCACCAUCAGACCCAUUUUUGCCGUCGUUCAGGUAGACCCAGAUGGAAAAAGACACCAAAUCAUCGACCCAGAUGCCAAAAGGGCGCUGGGUUUAUGGGACGAAGGAGGGUUGGUGCUGCUCAUGCGGGUUUGAGCGACGUUGCUUGCAGAACAGGGAGACGGGACUAGCAAUCCCGUGGUUUUUAGGGGGUCUAAGACCUCUUAGUGAAGCCUUUAGUGUAGGCGAGUCCGGGCUAGUCUCAUUAAGACUAGUCCCGCAUGAUAACAAACAUCAGACUGGACUAACUAUUAGUCCAGUCCAGUCCAGUCCCACUUAGUGAGGACAAACAAACGCUCCCUUACUGGCUUAUGGAAUGGUUGAAUAUAUAUGCCUAAAAUGUAGUAAGUACAAACAAAAUAACGAUAAGAAAAAAAAAAAUAGGGCAUCAUAUUUAAAAAACAAGUACAGCAAUAAUAUCGUAUUUCUGCAGAAAAUACACUAAACUGACAAAGAGUGAAAAAAAAAAUGAAAAAAUAAUAAAUCAAGAAUUAAUAUUGAUCUCGCAAGUCUGAUCACUUGCACUGCAAACUUUUGAGCGUCUUUGAUGACAAAUCAAAUGCAAUGGUACAGUCCAUGGUGGAAGAUUUCUUCUUCUUCAUUAUCAACAUAAGUUCAACCUUUCCUGUCAACUUAGCCGCGCUGUUGAGAGUCAACACCCCGCUGUUCAAUUCACUGCCAAGAUUAGAACUGCUCAAUGCACUUGAACUCAAGCUCACCUUGACGUCAAUUUUUUUGGUGGAAAGCAUUCCAGCCUUGCUCUUUGGAAUAGAAACUUGCCCGACAGUUGCACCUUGGUACAAAAACGUGACAAUGGCUGCAUCAAACUUGUAUGGACCAAAAUUUGUGUUCUUGACUUUGAUUUGGGUUGAGAAUUUCGUGUCGAAUGAAGGUGUUGCUGGGGGCGGAGUUGAGCUCUUGGACGUUGAUGUUGCCUAGUCUGACUUUCGGGGUCUUAACUUUCAGGACAGUGAGACUCAUCGCUGUUAUGACCAUGAUCUGAAACACAAGGAAAAUACCAAUGUAAAUGGCUAACUUGAUUCUCUUCUUGCGUUUCAGCUCAUCAACGGAUUCCAGACUCUGCAUCACUUUUUGUGUAACCAUUUGCCGGUGCUAAAGGAUAAACCUGUUGGUUCUUUUCGGCCAUGUUCUUGUGAUUGUUUGAGGUGUAUGUUUUCAGGGAUGAAACUUGGAAGUGAAGGGAGUUUGUGGAAAUGACGGAAGAGUUGUGCGCUAUAUAUAGCGUUUGGAGUUUGGCCUAUUUUCAAUAAGUUGUGUAGGGGAAUGAGCUUCCUGUAAAGUGAGAGUUUCAAGGGAAGAAUUUGAUUGCAGACGCGCCAAACGCGUCCAAAGCCAAAGGUGAACUUACUGUCUUCUAGAUGAUCGACGACUUUGGCGAAGCAUCUAAUAUACACUUUAGAUCAUCUUAUAUUGUUAUUUUUUCUUGCAGCUGUCUUGACAUUGACAUUCAAAAUAUCAACGGAAGCAUCUAUUAGUACACUUUAAUAUUUAUAAACUUGGACAAGAAGGACAUUUCUAGGGUGAUUUUCACACUAUCAAUUUCUCUUUUUGCACUUUUUAAUUAAUUAUUUAUUUUUCUUUAAUUUAUACAAUCGUAAGACUAAAAAAAUGUAGAAAUACAGUAGCAGAAAAAAAAAUAUUAGAUGAGUGCAGAGGAGAAAAUUGAGGACGAAAAACACUUGUUUCUGUUUCUUAUGGAAAAAGUAGAAUAUGGGUUCUCAAAUUAUAAUAUUAGACUGAAAGAUAUUUCAUAUUAAUCCAGAAAAAACAAGGCUUAAGAAACUUAAAUUAACAUCCAAGCUAAUAUUUUGUUUCACAUGUGAUUGAUAUGAUUAUUAUAAUAGAAAGCACAUAACUCAUAAUACUAAAGUACAGGGAACAUUUUAAUAUAAACUUUGCCUAGAACACAAACAAUUGGAUCUCUACAAGUCUUACAGAGAAAGGCACCUCAUGUGUUAUUUUGUAUUUUAUAUCCAUUUCUUUGUAUGCUAUGUGACACAAAAGACUUCUUCCUACAUACAGCCGUCUAGAUUGAUCCCGAAUGUCAAAAACCCUACCCUAUACGCGCGUUUUGGUUACAUUAUUUGAGCAUUUCCUAGAAGCUUGUACCACACAACAUUAACCCUCUAUAUAUAACACACUACUCUUCCAUCAUGUCCACAAACUCCCUCCACUUCCAAGCUUUCAUCCCACAAAGAAACUAGCAAAAGCUAGCGGAUAACUAACAUUGUUUCCACUUUCACAUCAGAAAAGAAUAAGAAAUUAAUAUGACUUGGAAAAGAAAUGAUGAGGAAUCUUUGCAAUCUGCUGAUGAGGUGAAACGCCAGAAAAGAAUCAAGUUGGCCAUUUAUAUUGGUUUUUUUUAUUGUGUUUCAGAUCAUUAUCAUAACCACGAUGAGCCUCACUGUCAUGAAAGUUAAGACCCCGAAGGUCAGGCUAGGCAACAUCAAUGUCCAAGACCUCAACUCCAUCCCGGCAACACCUUCAUUCGACACUAAAUUCACAACCCAAAUCAGAGUCAAGAAUACAAAUUUUGGUCCAUACAAGUAUGAUGCUGGCAUUGUCACGUUUUUGUACCAAGGCGCUACUGUCGGGCAAGUCUCUAUUCCAAAGAGCAAGGCUGGAAUGCUUUCCACCAAAAAAGUUGAUGUAGAGGUGAGCUUGAGUUCAAGUGCACUGAACAAUUCCAAUCUUGGCAGUGAAUUGAGCACCGGGGUGUUGAUUCUCAACAGUGCGGCUACGUUGACUGGAAAGGUUGAACUUAUGUUUAUUAUGAAGAAGAAGAAGUCUUCCACCAUGGACUGCACCAUUGCAUUUGAUUUGUCAUCAAAGACGCUCAAAAGUUUGCAAUGCAAGUGAUCAGACAAACCAAGUAGCGCAGUACAGGAGGGUGGAGUUGAACUGCAUUCUUUCUGUAACAUCUUUAGGAUUCAAAUUGCGAGUGAACAAGACUAGUUCUUGAUUUAUUAUUCUUUAUGCGACCUUGAAUUUGAAUUUGAUACAAAUUUUUUAAUUAUUUUUUUAACCAUUUAUGCCAGUUUUUCCUUUCUUCCUGUCUCCAAUAUAUGGUGCAGUUUCAAGUUUAAAACCUUUUAGAUGUGUGCAUUUUUACGCGUGUACUUGACUCUAUCAUGGUUACUGUGUACUUGUUGGGCUAAAGGUUGCUCUUUAACUUGGUAAUGUAAAAUGUCACUUCCCUGCGAAUUAAUUGUUCCCAAUUGUGGCUGCCGCUAGAUUUGAACGGCAUCAUUCUAUCCUCACAUAUGUUUCUUGUGAGCUUCGUAUAACUGUCAGUGAGUGUGAGUUUCUCAGAAUCUGCUUUCUACAGUAAGACAGUCCUCUCAAUUCUAGUGAGAGAAAAUGUUUCAUCUCUGUGAAAAAUCAUGAAAGUAGGAAUCAAUUCUUCUUGUAUUCUCAAAUUGAUAAGCAUUGCCUAUUUUGAAAUUAUAUGUUUUGAUGAUAUAUCGUUCUAAUUAUCAACGAAAGCUUUUGAGCCGCAGUUCAUUUGAGAGAAACUUAAAUAUUUUCACUGUUGGAUGCAGAUUUCAUACUAGCUGAUCAGUAUUAUUUUUCAUAUCAGAGGAUCACAAAUCAUUCUCUGUAUUUGUGUUUAAAAUAAACUUCUAUUUUCACAAAUCAUUCUGUAUCUGGUGACUGAGCUUGGAUGAAGAUUGAGUUGUAACGAUGGUUGCCUUCCUGAAACAGCUUCGGUAGAGGAGACUUGAAGCUACAGAGGAACUCGCUGCCACUUAGAUUAGAAUUGAGUGAUCAUUGAGCUUAAAUGUGUACUUGUAUUGCCAUUCAACUGUUACAUUGUGGUGGUUAUUGACUUCUAGAUGAUCGAUACCAAGAAAAAAAUGUUGGAAUUUAAGUAAAUUAACAGAAACUCUAAUCACAAUUCACAAUACAUAUAUAUUUAUAUAUCCAUCGUUAGUCUCAAACCUUAAACCCUUUCGAUCCUUGAGAGGUCUGCCAGUUUCGAUCCCAUGACUAAUUGGAUUUGAACCUCCCUCAAACCCAACAACAUACAUGGAUGUCAAGUAGUUUCUUCUACCCACUAAGAGACCUUAUGUUCAGAUGGUGAUAGAGCCAAGAAUGCUGAACGUUUUUCUCUAUGAGCAGGGAACUCUUGCACUUAUAGAAGCAAUGACAGCCAACUCCCAUCUAUCGUGGAGGGUUGGUUAUUUUCUCAUUGCUUCAAAUCCCGAUCAUGGAGAGGUGGUUGUGAUUAGUGCUUCCUUUCAAAUGCACGAUGUAGCUUUCCACGUAUCCAAACUCUUAUUAAUUUGUAUUACCAACAUAUUAUUUCUCCUUUAUCUUUUACUAGUGGAGUCCACAUAGGAUUCUUACAUUCUCCCACAUGGACAUUAACUAGUUCUGAAAUAAUAUGUCCAUGACAAAUUAUUCCUUAGUGAUCACCUUUGAGUUUAUCGCAGCUAUCAUCAUAUACACAUCCAUCAAUAUUCGUUUGAGACUUGAACCCUAGAAAGCAAUGCAUGCAGUGGCGGAGCCAGAAAUCUUACCACAAGGGGUCUUAGUGUAAAAGUCCAAAUAAAAAUUUAGGAUGGAAAAACAUAAUGAAAAUGAAAUCAUAGUACUUUCAUUCAUAAUUCAUAACGGAAACAAUAUUACAAGCUAUAAUUGUCCACGACGAGGUUUCAUAUUUUGAAAACGAAGCAUUAUAGCUUCAUUUUCAAUACAAGCAAAAAUAUCUCUCUCAAUAUAAACAAGCAAGCUAUCACUCAACCAUUGAUCUCCCAUUUUGUUCCUAAGUGGACCCUUAACAAUAUUCAUGACAGAAAAUGCUCUCUCCACUGAAGCAAUUGCAACUGGUAAAACUAAAGACAAUGUAAUGAGCAAAUAUACAUAAUUGAAUACUUGAUGCAUCCUUAUCUCCACCAAUUUUUUUGCAAGAUCACCAAUCCCUUCCAAUUGAGAGAAAUCACUACUGAAACGCACAUAAUGAAUAUAAAUCUCAAGUUGAUCUUCAAGUGCCAAAUGAUCCUCAUCCGAAAAGUCUUGAGGAUAAAAUUGAGCAAGACGAAGUAACUUUGGUUUAUCAAAGGCUACAAAUGAAUCUUUCGGACUCAAACAUGCCAAACAAAUAAGCAACUCAGUAUUUACCUCAUUAAAGCGAUCCUCUAACUCCGUAAUUUGCUCAUCAAUGACAUAAAUGAAGAGCUCCACACGAUAAUGAUGACGAUUCGUCUUUAUUGGAGCAUUACGCCUUGACCUCCCUGGAAGUAUAAAUGCCUCUUCCAUGUUAGGAACAUCAAUAUGAUGUUUUUCACAAAAAGAAGAUACUUCAUCAACCAAUGCAUCGAACCCAUUAUUCCUCAUCCAAUGUAGCUUUUCCCUGCAUGAUUUCAUUAAAGCCAUUGCAUUCACAAUUUCUUGAUCCUUCAUUUGCAAUGUUUGUGACAAAUCAUUUGUGAGUCCCAAUAUGACUUUCAUCAAGAAAAGGUGAAACACAAACUCAAAAGUACGUAUGUCUCUCAUUAACUUAUUUGCUUCACCCGCACUUUCAUUGGGAUUAUCAUCAAUAACCAUUUGAAGCACAUGAACCACGGAUGAAAACAUGGAAAUGAUGCUAAUCAAGGUACCAUAGUGUGAAUUCCAUCGUGUGUCACUGACACGUUUGAGACUUGGUUCUUGAUUUAAGCCUCGCCCCGUUAUAAGACAAUCGUUUUCAAAAGCUAUCACAAGCUCUUCUUGAAGUUGUUGUCGAAGUAAAUCACGCCGCUUACAAGAUGCUCCAACAUAAUUAACCAUACUAUUAGCCGUUACAAAAAAAGAGGCAAUGUCUAUAUUCUUCUUUGCUACAGCAACAAGAGCUAGUUAAAGUUGAUGUGCAAAGCAAUGAACAUAAUAUGCACAAGGUUGUUCUCUUAAUAUCUUUGUUUUAAGGCCAUUCAACUCACCUCCCAUAUUGCUAGCACCAUCAUAACCUUGUCCUCGUAGCUUGGAAAUGCUCAAACCAUUGCGAGAAAAGAAUGUGUCAAUAGCAUCCUUUAGUGAACUUGAAGUAGUGUCGGUAACAUGUUGGAUACCCACAAAUCUUUCAAUUACAUGCCCGUUGUCAUCCACAUAACGCAACACCAUAGCCAUUUGCUCUUUCACCGACACAUCACGUGCUUCAUCCACCAAUAUUGAAAAGAAUCUAUCUUUUAGACCAUCCAUGAUAGCAUCAAGUGUUUCAAGGGCACAUGAAUUCACAAUUUCUUUUUGAAUGGAAGGAGUUAGUAAUUUGAGAUUCCCCGGAGCAUUUUCCAUCACAACUUCUCUAACUUUAUCAUCAUUAUCUGCAAGGAAUUUCAAUAGCUCCAAGUAAUUUCCCUUAUUGCUUGAAGUGGCACUUUCAUCAUGGCCACGAAAAGCAAGACCUAAUAAAAACUUAGUGCACUUGAUUGAUGCAUUCAAGCAUGUGCGAUAAGCCUUACGAGCUUGGUCGGAGUGUUUGCUCACUGCCGUUUCAAUAUGUGUAGCUUGAUUCAUCAAAUUUGUAGCAGCUUCUCUAACCUUAUUAUGAACACUCCCAACCGUUCCAACAUGCAUCUUAAAUCUUUCUCUCCUUUUCUUCCAAGUCUUAAAUCCAUCUCUAGUGAAAGCUUCACUACCCAUUUGUUCAAAAUUGGUUUUAAAGAGAUAGCAAUAGAGACAAAAUGCCGCAUCUUUAGAUAUACUAUACUCCAACCAAUCAAACUCAUUAAACCAUAGGGGAAUGAAGUGUCGAUUAAUUCCGGACAUAUUAGUUAUUGGGAAAUUAUGACCUCUAGGUUGACGAGGUCCUUUUUGUAGAUAUGAUCUUCGGACCUCAUCUCUCAUAUUAGCAUCAUAAUCUAUCAUUUGAAUUCUUAAUCCAUGAUCAGCUUGAAGAUUACCCAAAACAUCAUCUAACUGACUUUGUCUUGAACUUGGAGUUCUUGAACUACCAACAGUAUUCGAACUACCCGAACCCGAUGAUGACUUUCUCUUAAAAAACCGUUCCAUAAUAAUUCUACAUAUACAAAAUAUUCAAAAUAAAUACUCACAAUAUAAACAAACCAUCAACAUAAUCAAAAUAAAUAUGAAUUGGAUUUCAAUUAAAUUAAAUAUAUUCUACAUAUACAAAAUAAUGAAAAUAAAAACUCACAAUAUACACAAACCAUCAACAUAAUCAAAAUAAAUAUAAAUUGGAUUUCAAUUAAAUUAAAUAUAUUCUACAUAUACAAAAAAAUGAAAAUAAAAACUCACAAUAUAAACAAAUCAUCAACAUAAUCAAAAUAAAUAUGAAUUGGAUUUCAAUUAAAUUAAAGAUAUUCUACAUAUACAAAAUAAUGAAAAUAAAAACUCACAAUAUAAACAAACCAUCAAUAUAAUCAAAAUAAAUAUGAAUUGAAUUUCAAUUAAAUUAAAUAUAUUCUACAUAUAGAAAAUAAUGAAAAUAAAAACUCACAAUGUAAUCAAAUCACCAAUAUAAUCAAAAUAAAUAUGAAUUAGGUUUCAAUUAAAUUAAAUAUAUCAUACAUUAUACAUAGGGUUUAGAACUUACUUGAAUUGUGAAAUUUCACAAUAACAAUGUCAAUGAGCAAAUAUAAAGAGAGCUGGCGCGGCACCUCAAUGGUGGCAGCAAGGGAGGAGAUGGAGUUGAGGGUUUGGGGGGGGGGGGAUUGAGUUUGGACUUAGGGUUGGAGGAGGAGAAAACAAAAGAAAAUUGGGGGUUUUGGAAUGGGGGAGUCGGAUCUGUGAAAAAAGAAGAGAGCUGCCUUUUUUUUUCUUUUUAGACCUGGCCCAAAAUGACGUCGUUUUGGCCAGGUCAUUUAAAAAAAAAUUGACUGAGCCAAAACGACGUCGUUUUAGCCAGGUCAUUGAAAAAAAAUUGCCUGGGCCAAAACGACAUCGUUUUGGCCAGGUCAUUUAAAAAAAAUUGUCUGAGUCAAAACGACGUCGUUUUGGCAAGGUCAUUUAAAAAAAAUCCCUGAGCCAAAAUGACGUCGUUUUGCCCAGGUUGUUUUAAAAAAAAAGGCCCGCGCGGGCUCCUCUUUCUUCUUCAACCUGCAAGGCUGCCUUCUUUCUUUCAAACAUUCCGUCGAACAAGUGGUGUGCAGCUCCAAGGGAUCGAACCAGCAGCUCCAAGGGACCUCUAAGGUUAUUUCCAUGGCUUCCAAGGGGUCGUGCGACCCCAUUGACCCCACUGUGGCUCCGCCUUUGAAUGCAUGUACUAAUACUGCACGCACCCUAGAAUCACAAUCCUCAAAACCAUAUUAUAUGAUGCAUUUGAUAUACCUUUAUAUAUACAUUUCAUUCAAGUAAUUUACUACUCAUAUCACUACCAAACCCUCCCACAUUUUUACCUAGUAUACCUUCAUAAUUCCGGUUUCAAGGCUUCAUUCUUAACCACUGGACAUUAGCCCCUCACAUUUCUGCAUAACAAACUAAAUCAAUAUGCUCUUUGGAACACUGAUUAGUUAUUUAAUUGCAUGUAACAAAAUUAAACCUGUAUGACAUCGUCAAUUCUUAAGUUUGAAGGAAAAUUAUCCAAAGUCUUGCAAUAGAAGAUACAACAAAACAUAGUGGCUUACUGUACUCCCACAUUUCAGCAUAUUCAUAACCAUUAUGCACAUCCAUAUUUGAAAAAUGGUUUUUAAAACUCCCACAUCCAGUGGGUUUGUCAAUGGGUCAACUAGCAUCAGUCUCGUGUCGAUGCCAUCUGUCGACACUAGUCUCAUUUCCCCACAUGAAAACACCAUCAAAACAUGAUAAACAAGAUGAUUAAUGUAUUUUGUAAUAUGUGUCCAAUGAAACAAUCAUCUUUGGUCCUUUAUCAAACUCAUUGGAGUUUGCUUUAAUGCUUCCAAUGAAGCCUCGAUUUCGUCUUGCAUAUAAACUAAUUAUUCAAUGAAUAACUAUGUCAUGAAGUAGAAAAUAAAGAUGUACUUUAUGUGUCUGCAAACAUCUUCAUUUUAUGAUCCUCUUCAUCAGUUUCCAACGAAAUUCUUCAAUGCUUCAAAUGAAGCUGACCUUAGUUGCAAGUACUGCUAAUAAUCAUACAUACAUAAGCACUCUCAAAAUGCAACUAAAUAAAAGCUUUAGUCUCACAAAAUUAUUUCAAGAAUCAAACACUCAUGAGUAAAUAUGAAUGAUAAAAAUCACAACAGUAUCACAAUUAAUCUUUCAUGCAUAAUAUUCCUUUAACAUUCAUUUAAAUAUGUAUGAUGGAUACACAAAACCAGACCAAAGAAAACCAAACGGUACAAAUCAAUUAGAAAAUAGUUGUACCGAUAUUUAACAUUUGUUCUUAAUGCCCUCAAACUCUUUAUUAUGACCAAUAUGUAACCAUCCAAUGAAACCAUAUGAAUGAGACAAGGAAGAUAGACAAUGCACAUAUGCAUCAUUUAUACAUUAUAUAUAUAUUCAUGCAAUUUAAUCAUGUUGUAUCUUAAAGAUCGAUUUAACUCCAAAUCUUCAGCAACCAUUUUCAAAAGUACUAAACAUUUCAUCAGAGAAGAAAAUUUUGGCUUUCGUUCACUCUUUCAACUUGAUUGUGACGAUACAAGAACAACUCCCACAAUCUUUUACAACUCAAUGUCUGUAGAAAAUGUUAAUGAACUGAAACCCAAAAUUUCUUACACUUAUUCUCCCAAUUGGGCAAAACAAUCAUUAAUUUAUUAUUUCAUGAAAAUUACGAAUGAUAGUUGCUUAAAAUUUUAAACACCAUAGAUUAGAAGUCUAAAACUAGAUUCCAUGAGUUAGUCUCAAUUACGUUAGGAUUUACUAUAAUUGAUUUUACUUUUAUAAACAAACAAACAAGAAUUCUUGUGCAAUUCAGAGUGCGGAUGGGAGAAAGGAAUCAGCAUCUUCAUACAAAAUACUUAAAAAGAAAUAGCCUUGAACUCUUUUCACAGGAUGAGAAAAAAACCAUCGAACCAAAGCCAUAUAAGAAAAGAACGCUCAAACCAAAGGCAGACAGGUUUCAAGGAAACUAAAACUGGUCAUCAAGUUCCAAUAACCGAAAAAGCAACCAACAGGGAAAUAAAUUGAACUUCUAGAGAUAGGCAAAGGAAAAUGCAAUUUAUUGAAACAAAUUAUUCCAGCAAGUUCUGGUUCACAUACCAAUUGAAAAUUUUCAAAUUAGUUUGACUAAGUAUGAAAAGUAUGCACAACAUCACCCAAUAUUUACUCGACUAAGAGUCCUGCCUAUAAAUAUGGUUUCAGACUUUGACCCACACCAAUCUUUGUAUUAUUCAAGGCCAAUACUGAAGUAAAAAUCAAGAUUUGUUCUGCUUAAAACAAUUAUACUGCAGCCAGCCUUUCAAAGACUAAUUGCACACCCACUAGCACCCUAUGUCAUUGAACUAGAAGAGAAGGUUGUCUCAUAAUUUCAUGAAAUACAGUACACUGUAUCACAAUUUGAACCAUUCAUUAUGUCUUCCUUCGGAAAGAUUAGUCUCAUGUAAUAAACUGUUGGUCACAAUUUCAUUUAAGAAAGUCCUUGAACAAAAUUUCCUAAUAAUUCCCACUUUGGUGAAAAAUUAUAUAAACAUUUGUUCAAGAAUGAUUUAUCAUUGUUAGUGCUCUUACAAAAACUAUUAGCUUCACUAACCUUUGAGUUGAUUUAUCUUUAUCCUCAUGCCUUUCAACCUGCGUUUGAGGAACUUUACACACAUGAACAGUGAUCAAUAUUCAAGACAACAAAUCCAGGAUCAAUUUAAGAAAACAACUUUAUAAAGGGCAUGAUAAUUCAUUUAAGGAGACAACAGACUAUCAAUAUCUGAAGAAAUUCAAAGUUCAUAAAUGUAUGUUCAUGUCACACCUUUGGGCAAGAAACACAAAGUGUCAUUUAUUGUUUAUAUAUUCGUGUUUUCUUUCCCUACAACCAAAACUAAUGCUAAAAAGACAACCAAACUUUGAGGCAAUCAGUGUGAAAUCCCAUCCCCGGAAUUUCACCAUUUAUUACGUAUUUCAUAAUUUAAAUUCGUAUUUCGUGAUUACAUGAUCUUUAUUAGUUAAUUUUAAUUCCACUAAUUAUAAGUUUAGUAAUUGAUUAGUUGUCGAGUUGGAAGUUUCAUAAUCAAUCUUUAUCUUUCGUUUAUAUAUUUCGAAGUUACAACUAGUGUUUUUAAAUUGAUCUUGAAUCCACAAACGUAUAGGCGAAAGCCGUUUGCAAGUCUGAAUUAUAACGGUAUAGUUACGGACGUUUGAAGUUGUGAACUUUAGAUUGUGGGAAGCAUGGGUUAAAGGUUAAGUUAGUAAAGAAAAAAAUAAAAAAUAGAAAAGUGAGGACCUAUUAGAUUUUUAAAGGGUAUGAAAGUACCCAUUUGGAAAAAAGAAAAAGGAAGGCCACUUCUGGCCUUCCCCCCCCCCCCCCCAAUUUCGUGAAACCGUGAGGUACACCAAACCCUUUUUUUUAUUUUCAAACCGACCAAUUUUAGGCCAAUUCCUACCAUUUCUCUUCUGAUUUUUCCUAUCUCCUUCACCUGCAACUUGCUCAACUACCUUCCUCCUUCCCUCUCUACCAAAAAUGAGUUUUUAAGGUCUAUUUCAUGUAGAACUCCAUAGGAGAACCCGGGGGUUCUCGACAACGAAUUGUCAUUCCGGAGAGUAUCACCAUUCACCAUCACCCUUAAUCAGCUUCCCUUGGACCCAAGAACAAGACCCAACUGGUGGUUGGGGCGUUGGAACACCAAGGAAGCCGAAUUGAAGAACACCCACCUUAGGGUUCGUUGGGUGUGAGACAAUUUGAGGGCCUUCCUGGCCAAAUUGGACUCAGCCACAGGUAUAAAGUUUACUCUACUUGUUGAAAUCUUUAUUCCUGUAAAAUUUGAGAAUUUUUGGAGAAAGUCAAAUUUCCAGUGUGUGACAUUCGAUUUAUGAAAAUGUUCUUGGUUGAGUAUUUUAUCGAUAUGCUCUGCCACUUGAUUAUUCUAACGAUUGAUGAUCUUACCAUUGAAUUGACACCAAUUUUAGUAUGCUAUGGUAGAUAAUGUUUAAGGACCUUAGGGACUUACAAGUGAAAAUCUAGUGAUUGGAUAUUAUGGAAUAAGUGACGUAAGAUCAUGGACCCUACCUUAGAGUGACGGUUCGAUUCCUCAUUAAAUGUUGUUGUGAGAGAUAUAUGAGAGUUUUUAAGUAUGUGAAUUAUCAAAGGAAAUCUAAAUGUGGCGUGUACCUUGUUAGGCGGUGAUAGAACAUAAUGCCUUGACUCUCGUGUUUGAGUGCGUUAGUGUGAAUCUCAGGUGAGUUAUUCUAAUCUAUGUGUUAUGGUUAUUUCUUUGAAAUCUUUUGUGCUAAUAAACUUUGUGGUUAAACUAUGGAUUCUUAAAAUAUUUCUGAUCCUAAAUAAUUGUUGCUAUUAACUUGCCGUCGAUCUACUUAUAAAACAUUAGGUGACUUGGAUAUUUGAACUGUGAUGGAUUGUGUUUUGGGAUAUAUAUUUGAUGGUUGAUAAAAAUGAUGCAUUGUGUUUUGGGAUAUAUAUGUGCUGGUUGAUUUUGGGAUAUAUAUGUGAUGGUUGAUAAAAAUAAUGGAUUGUGUUUUGGGAUAUAUAUGUGAUGGUUGAUAAAAAUGAUGGAUUGUGUUUUGGAAUAUAUAUUUGACGGUUUGAUAGAAAUGAUGUAUUGUAAAGGACCAUUACCCUAGUGUCAUGGGGUUAGGUGACACUAAGUCUGCACCACGUAGCAAUGGUCCUAGAUGGUCCUAGAUGGUCCUGCUUGGUUAAUCCGCGUUAGGGGACCAUAUUUUUUGUGGAUCGCGCUUGGUUAAUCCGCGUUAGGCGAUCCUUAUAUCCUAGGUAUGGCCAUACACAUUUAAAGGUGAUCAUGCUUGGUUAAUCCGCAUUGGGUGAUCACCUUCCAAUAGUUAUAGGAGUGAUUCUGCUUGAUUAAUCCACAUUGGGGGGUCACUACCUAUUUGGUUAUUUUCUCAGGGGUGACUCUGCUAGUUAAUCCGCAUUGGGGGGGUCACUACCUACUUGGUUACUUUCUCAGGAGUGGCUCUGCUUGGUUGAUCCGCUUUGUGGGGCCAUUUCCUAUUUGGUUACUUGCGUAGGCUUCGGCCGAACGACGUCUCUCUAACUCUAGUUUUGAAUAUAUUUGUGAAUGUGACUUUGAGAACUCUGAGUUUUGAUUUAGAAAACUUGUUGGAUGUAUGUGUGACUCCUUUGGAGGUUGUAAGGUUUGGUAGCGAUUUCUUAUGAAUGAUUUAUAUUCAAGGUUUCUAAAUUGUGAAUGAUGACUGGUUUUAUUAUUAGUAUUAUAUACUUUGUAUUAUUUGUCGCUCACACAAGCUUCGUAGCUUAUCCGGGUUGUUGUUUGCCUGGUGCACCAUUUCGAUGGUAUAGGCACUGAUCUUACAAGUAACAAGUCUGAGUAGCUUCAAGAGGUUCGUAGGUGGGGUAACGGUACAGUUAUCAGAGAUUUGGAGUGCUAGGUUACCCCUAUAUCCUAUCUUGUACUUUAUCUUUGGGACUUUCUUUUGAGCACCUCAAACUUGUUCUUAGUAAAGCAAAUAUUAUGCUUCUUUUUGGGAUGUACUUAUUUGUAAUUAUUUUUUGGAGAACUUAGCCACCUUCAUAUUAUUUUGGUUUAUCAGUUAAAGUAUUUUAUUCAGUAACUUAUACCGUAUUCAACGGACGUUAUUUUCUUUGUCACGUGUCGAUUCUCGACGUAUGCUGGGAUUGGGGCGUGACAAUCAGUUAGAAAAAUUAAAACAAAUUAUGUGUCAUACUCAAGGAUGAAAAUAUCGGUAAUAUCGGAAAUAUCGGUAGUCCGAAAACACGGAAAUAUCGAUGGAAAUAUCGGGAUAAUAUCGAUAUCGAUAAAAAUUACAUGGAAACCACGGAAAUUGUAAGAAAAACUUGGAAAUUUUUAUUGAAACUUUGCAGGAUGUUUAUUUAGUCAAUUCUCUAUUAGUUUAUCACAAAAAAUUGGAAGGAAAUGCAUUGCAUGAUGGAUUUAACUGAUUUAAGUUGAUUAUAUAGCGAGCUGGCAAACAUUGUGAGUGUAGAAAAUAUAUAAUAAUUAAUGAAAGAAGUUUAAACACACCAUAAUCAUUUAUAUAUAAUGAAUUAGUACAAUAUUUUACACUUUAUACAUUGCAUGGUAAGAUACAUGAGUGACUAAGUACCACAUAGAGUUCCUAUGAGGUUCAAAAUUUUCACUAUCUUCAUCAUCACUAUGUGUAGAGUAAGUGUAUUGUGAAGAGUAGUUAGCAACCAUGGCAAUGGCUUUCAAGAACCGAAACCCAAAAGUCAAUAGGAAACCGAAUACUUCGGUAUUUUUCGGGAUUUCAGGAUUACCAAACAAAUGGGAUUUGGAAACCAAUCCCAUAUCGAAAAUUUCGGUAUUUUUCAGGAUGGUUUUGGUUUGGGACUUUUUCAGUUUGGUUUGGGAUUUUCGGGAAUUUUUUCCAACCAUACAUGUAAGUGACCAAAUAAAAAAUAGAAAAAUUAAAAACCACAUGCCAUUGACUAAGUAAUUAAUUGACACAAUUUAAAAUAUAAUACCACAAAAAAUUUGGAAUAUGUGCAAAUUUGUUUCUUGCAAAAAGAAUUCAAAACAAAACCAUAUAUAUAAAUAGUUUAGCAUGUUUUCACAAAAACGUAAGUGGUAUGGUGGUCAAGUCGCUGAAGGAGUUAGAUGGGAGGGGUUCGAUUCCCUUUAUGUGCAUGUUUGAGACUUUUCAGAAAUUUUCAAAUAUUUUUAGGUUCAUCUCGCGAUAUUAUAUAUAAUAUCGCGAUAAUAAUUAUCGAUAUUAUCGCGAUAUAUUAACGAUAAUUAAAAAAUACUCGCGAAAUAUCGUUAUAUGAAAAAAACGAUAAUAUUGACGAAAUAUCGCCGAUAUUAUCGAUUUUUAAAUCUAUGGUCAUACUGCAUCAUUUAUAUCGAGCCUAGUAGCGUAAGCUUGUAACCCAAGUAGGAGAAUCUUAAGACAUCACCCUGACUACAUUCUGGGGACGAGUGCCUUCAUAUUAGUUGUGCCAAUCCUGAUUAGGGCCAUCGAGACCAUUCAGACUAGUUGAUGCUUGGAGAAACCAUACUAUUUCUGGAACCUCUACUACAAAUAAUUGAUAACUAUCCUUACAGAGAGCCAUAUGAAUUAUUAAUUGUCCCAUGUAUAUAAAAAUAGACUUUCCAGACCAAUGGAACAUAAGGGCUUGCAUUGUAUAACGGCAUACCACCCAAACAAUAUUAGGAAGCUACCCUAGUCAAACCAGUGAAAUCUUGCUCCUUGUGUCCAUGUAACAUGAAAUUCAAAUAAAGUAAGCAUGUAAAGAGUUAUCACAGGGGGCAUUAAACUGAUAAGAGAAACCCAAUAUUUCCCCUCACUCCAACUUAUAAAGCUCCAGUGAAGUGGAAAACGUGAUGCUUACGGAGGGAUAAGUGAAACUAAAGUCCCAAUCAUCACAUGUGAUGGCACCUGCCUUUGCACCCAAAACACAAAUUAUAUUCUCAGAAACUGGACAAUAGUAGGCCGAGAUAAAACCCAAUGAAUAAAGAACAAAAUACCCUGUGAAUAAAGAAUAAAAUACCCCAAGAUCAACUCUCAGAUCAUUGAUGAAGGGAUCAAAACAAACAGUGCUCAAUAAAUUCUUCAAAAUACCUCGAGAAUAAAGGACACCCAAUUCCAUAAACACUAGUAGAAAUCUUGAAUGAUUAGAGUACUAAAGUAAAUAGAAAUCACCAAACCUAUGUGAUUUGUAAAGAUUAAAAAUUGGGCAAACCCAAAACCUGCUUGAGUCUUUAUUCGACCUAAUCGAGCCAGUUAUACCCAAAAGCACAUACAUUUCAUUCCAACUAAAGAUAUAAGCUUUGGUAAUUGAAAUAGAAAACUAGAAAGCCUCACAUUUAGGGAUGGGCAACGGUUAUGGCAGGCAGGUAACCGUUGUUAUUUACCUAUAAUCGUUUAGGCUUUUAACCGCAUAACCAUUUACCCGUUGGGUAUUUACAUAAACGGGUAUACCCAUACCCAUAACCGUUUAUAAGCGGUUAACCAUACGCAUAACCGCAUACCCAUUUAACUAUAACCACGUACCCGUUUACCCAUUUUUAUCCCGUUUACUCUCUUUUUUUCACCCUUUUACCCUUUUUUUUAACAACUUGAAAAUUAAAAAGAAAUUUGUCAUAAUUUUCUUUUUCUAACAACUAAAUACCAUUAUAAAUAUAUUUAACAUGAAUUUUUGUAUUAACGGCAAUAUUAUUUAUGAAUAUUUGCGAUGUCUUCUAAUUAUUUGAUGGUCAAUCUAUUACAAGAAUCAUGCAUGGUUGUAGGUUAAUUAAUAUUCUUGUAUACAUACAUACAUACAUACAUACAUACAUACAUACAUAUAUAUAUAUAUAUGCAUGUAUGUAAGUACGCAUCAAUCUGCUAAUAAGCUAAUUUGAUAAAUAUUUGGAUUUUUAUUUAGAAACAUAUGUUCAUCAAUCCAAGCCAUUUAAUUGAUUUCUAAUUUUUGGGUCAAAUACUUAUUGAAAACUCGAGGCCAAUUAAAUAUAUAUACAUAUAUAUAUAUAUAUAUAUAUAUAUAUAUAUAUAUGUACGCAUCAACCGACAAUAACAUGUUUCUAAAAGCUCAAGGUAAUCAUUAUCUUGAAUUGGCCAAAACUCCAAAAGACUCCAAAAUAAAAUUGUCGAACACUCGAAUGUUUUAGCACAUUCAAUCACAUAUAUUAAACAUUAGCCCGUUCUAUAAACUAUAUUUUUCUCUCAAGUAAGGCAUAUAUAUAUAUAUAUAUAUUAUGGCCCUUUAUAACCAAAUAUGUUUCGGGAUACUAAACUUAGCUAAAAACUUUAUUUUUUAUUUUUAUAAUUUUACAUAUAUUAAAAUAAAUGGUUAAAUGGGUAGCCGUUUAUAACCGCGGGUAAUACCCAUAACCGCCCAUUUAAAUUUCACGGGUAAACGGUUAUACCAUAACCGUUUAUUUAUCUAAACGGUUACCCAUAAUCGUAACCGUCAAAUUUAAAUGGACGGAUAACAACGGUUACCCAUAACCAAUGGGUAUUUGCCCAUCCCUACUCACAUUGCCUCAGGUGCGUAUGUUUGAUGAAACCUUAAUCUUUAGCAUGAACCUUAGAUCACAAUGAUACAAAUAGAGCUAGAAGACAUACCUGACGAAGCCUAGCUAACAUUGUCAGUGGUUGUAAAUGCAUGUUUAUAUCACACCUUUGAGCAAGAGAUAUAAACUGUCAUUGUCCUUUAUUGUACAGUCAUCACUACAGGAUCUUAUCAUGCAAUUAUAUCAAGUCCUUGGACAAGAAUGUAGCCUGAUCAAUAUGAUGCUAUACACAGAUUAAAAACACCUACAACUUAUACAUUCUCCUCCUUGGAAAAGAAUGUGAACAUUUCAUGGGUUUUUGAACCACAAUGCAUGUAAAUAGGAAAUUGGUUAUUCCUUUUGAGAAAACCUUCAUCUUUCUGAAGAAGCAACGAUUAGUACAGAUAAACAAAAACCCAACUUUCAAUUUUCGAGAAGCAAUAAAUAUAGAACCAGUUGUAACUGACUUGUUUCAAUUCCAAUUACAAAAGAGUUACAUUAUGUUUGGAUGAGGGAAAUACACUUGGAAUUUGGAUAAAAGUCAGAAUUUAUAAAUUGACAUACACCAAUUCCCUUGUUUGAAUUUAUAACAUAGAAAUUUAGAAUUUCCGCGUGAAAAAAAAAACUUGGAAUUUGGGGCCUUCAAUUUCCAAGUUUAAAUUCCAUGUAGAUAUGUGUCAUUUCCCAAUUUCUAUGAUUGAGAGUUUAAAGUUAACAAAUUCCGUUUUCAAUUCCAUUGUUCUUUUAAGUUAACCAAACAAUAAAAUUCACAAAUUCUAGAAAAUAAAAUCUCUUCAUUUCAAUUUCCGUCAUUUUCAAAUAAUGUUCGAAGGAUUAGAGCCUGUUAAUUUGGCUCUGAUACAAAAUGUUGGAAUUUAAGUAAAUUAACAGAAACUCUAAUCCCAAUUUGCAAUACAUAUAUAUUUAUAUAUCCAUCGUUAGUCUCAAACCUUAAACCCUUUAGAACUUUGAGAGGUCUGCCAGUUUCGAUCCCAUGACUAAUUGGAUUUGAACCUCCCUCAAACCCAACAACGUACAUGGAUGUCAGGUAAUUUCUUCUACCCACUAAGAGACCUUAUGUUCAGAUGGUGAUAGAGCCAAGAACGCUGAACAUUUUUCUCUGUGAGCAGGGAACUCUUGCACUUAUAGAAGCAAUGACAGCCAACUCCCAUCUAUCAUGGAGGGUUGGUUAUUUUCCCAUUGCUUCAAAUCCUAAUCGUGGAGAGGUGGUUAUGAUUAGUGCUUCCUUUCAAACACACCAUGAAAGUAUACCACUCAAUUAUAUGAUGUAGCAUUCAACAUAUCCAAACUCUUAUUAAUUUGUAUUACCAACAUAUUAUUUCUCCUUUAUCUUUAACUAGUUGAGUCCACAUAGGAUUCUUACAAAAAAUACUUCAAAAUACUUCGUUAUAUUAUUCAUCUUCUAGGUUUACAAUAUAUAGGCAAAUGUCUUAUUCUACAAGGGAAAAUAAUUACAAAAGAUAAGGAAACUAAAUCUUAAAGACUACAAGUCUCAAUCCUACCAGAAAUAGGACUCCAAAAAUAUUUACAAUUAAAACUCAAAUCAACAAUUUAUUUAUUCGUUAUUCUUUAAUUUAUUACCGUAAGACUACAAAAAGUAGAAAUGCAGUAGCAGAAAAAAAAAAUAUUGAUGAGUGCAAAGGAGAAAAUGGAGGGCAAAAGUGUUUUCAUAUUUCUUAACAAACAAAGUGGAAUGGGUGCUCAAAUUAUUAUAUUAAAAAGUGAAAGAUGUUUUCAAAUAAUCCAGCAAAAACGGAUUUGGAUCUAUCCGGAUUCAAAUUGUAAGGAUUAUAGAGAUUUUCACAUUUUAGUUAUUCAUCAUACAUCAUGCGGUCAGAAAUUAUUUUACUUUUUAUUUAAAAAUCAAGUACAAAUAAUACUUGAUGAAAACUGACCGCACGGUAUACGAUAAACGGCUAGAAUGUGAAAAUCCUUAAGAUCCCCUAAAGAGGAUCUGGAGAGGAUCCGGAGAGGAUCCUUAACCACUGAAAACGACGCUUAAGACUUAAUUUAACAAUCAAGCCAAUAUCGCGUUCAACGUGUCAUUUAUAUGAUUAAUAUAAUAGGAAGUACCUAACUCAUAAUGCUGAAGCACAGGUAACAUUUUAACAUUUUGUUCAACAUGUGAAUGAUAUGAUUAAUAUAAUGUAUUAUUUGUAUUUUAUAUCCUUUUCUUCGUAAGCUAUGUGACACAAAAAGACUUCUUCCUACAUAUACAGCCAUCUACAUUGACUAAACUACAUUGUAACCACCGAAAACUUAGGUUAAUUGUCAUUUUUCAUGCUUCUGUGUAAUUUAUCAUGUCAAAGAAGUCCCCAAAAAAUGAAAAAAAGAAAAGUAGGACUUUCGGGUCACAAAAUUCACCAAAAACUUAGGCCUAUUGUAACUAGAUCUGGCAAUUUCUUACAUGACACGUAAACAACACGAAAAUAACGAGUUUCGGGUUAACAUGAUAACUAAUCGGAUCGUUAUUGGGCCACACGAUAAGAACCCGUUAAUAACGGGUCUCUAACAGGUUUACACAAAUGUUGUCACAGCCUGUCCCGAAAUUUCAUUUAUCAUGGAUGUGAAAUGACGGAAUUGCCCUUAAAGGUUGCUAAGGUAUGUGUGACAUGUUUAUUUGAAUAUUGCAUACUCUCCUAAGUUCUUGGAAAAUAAAUUAAGUGGAUUAAAAUUGUUUGCAAUUGUGUGGCUAGGGACUUAGGAGGACACACACACAAAGCCAACCUCACUCUCUCUCUCUCCUAUCCCGUAUCUCUCCUCCCUCUCAGUUCACUCUCUUUCUCUUUCUCCCUUUCGAACUUGUACAGACAAGGAACCAACCCCUCAAAAGUUCGCAGAUCGACGUCAAAAAGGUGCGUUCCUUCAUCCUUACAACCUCCUGAGUUGAUUGGUACUAUUUUUAGAACUAGAAACUCUCGAAAUCAUGUCGAAACUGUAACCUCGUUUAAUAUCACUGUUCACGAACUUUGUAAUGGUUGGUUUUUAGGACAAUCCAAGCUCAUAGUGAGCUUAAGGAGGUUCCCACGAAGCUCGGGGACGGUCGUUUGGAAGUUUUGGAUGUCGGGAAGUCCUAGUUUGAAGGUGGCCUGUUUUGGUGAAAUUAUCCCGAUGAGUUUUCGAAGGAUUUGGAAGUUUUAAAAGGUAUAGCCUUCUUCCUCGCGUGAUUUGUGACAUUUUGGUGAAAAUUUCGUGGAAAAUGGUGCUAAAUCGAGUGAGAAAAGGGGAGUUGCAGGUCUGCCUAGUUUUUCGGCACCGGCGAGAUUUUCCGGCGUCUGGAGGUAGAGGAUGAUGCGUGUGGGGGCGCGUAGCACCGGGCCUAUCUCGGCGCAUGGGGGCUCGUGCGACGUUGAAAUUUUUUUCUAAAAAUAUCUCGAUGUCCGUGACGUCGAGUAGGUCACUGUGGUAUAUUCAUAUACCCAAAUUGAGUAUCGUAUGAGAAGUUAUUACGUAUUGUUGGUUAUGUGCUUUAAAAUAAUGUUUUUAUAGUUGUUUCGCAUAUAGGUGAGACCUAUCACGAGGACGAGCGCAAUCAAGGGCGUCACGGGGGUUACGACCCUUCGACAUACCAGUGAGUGGGCAGUUAUUUUCUGUUUAUACCUAUAUACUACUAACUUUUCCCAGAAAUUGAAUUCAAAUGAAAGUAUGUUUAAAAAUGCCAUGCAUGCAUAUUAUAUGAAAUAUUUGAAUUAGUAAUUGAUGCAUAUAUGUUAAAUGGUGUUGUGGACGCACAGGUAAGUAUCAGGUGAGUUUUAUGUUGUUCGUGUGAUUUAUUGAUGAUGUAAAUUGUGUUGAGAGCUCAUAACCUGCACCCCUAGUGUUAGUGCUUAUAUUAUUCACCACGCGCCACACGCUCACCUUGGAUCCAAGUAGGUGCAUGUCGUACAGAUCACUAGAGGUGGUUCUGACAUGUUGUACAGACCAUUAGAGGUGGUUCCGACUUGUAGGUGACAUUAGAUUAUUAUACAGCUGUUGAUGAGAGAAGCAUUAGAACGUAUUCUUACACCAUUCUUGUCGUGCAGACUACUUCAGGUAGUUCCGAUUUAUGUGCAGAGUAGUGUCGUACAGGUUACAGUGGUGACUCCGGUUGGGUUGGAUAUUGAGCUAUAGAAUUAAUCGUACAGGACAGCUGCAGGGCCUCCGAUUGAUUCCUUAUUUCACCUGUUAUAUUGAUGCAUCCUUAUUAUGUUUGAAGCAUAGCAUGGCAUAUUUCUUGAAAAGUGUUAAAGACUUGUGAUUUGGGUUAUUUGCUGUUAUAUAUGGUUAUAUAUAUACUAUUUUUCUGGGAAAGUAUACAGGUUUUACAGUGAGGGGUUAGAAGUGUUGUAAAAUGAAAUAUUUUUGAAAAACUUUGUUUUACUGACCACUCAAUCUUGUUUUGCGCUCCUCCAGGUUCUAGUUAGCAGUGUUGGUGGCUCACGAGGAUCCCCACGGUGUUCUGACAGACUACUUAAAUGUAGGACUCACCUUCGGGUGUUGUAAUUUAGUAAUGGUCCUACUUGACUGCACUUGGUACUUAUGCUCUGAAUGUGUGUGUUUCACACUUAAACUCACUCUAGCAUGUUAAUUUUAUAUUAUUGCUAGUAGUUGGUUUUUAUUCCUUCGUAUUUCUUUUACCUUUUGCUUCCGCAUUGCACUUUUGGUUACGUCACGCCCACGUGAUGGCCAGCACGCCUUGAUUCUAGGAUCGGGGUGUGUCAGUUUGGUAUCAGAGCAUAAGUUUGCAGUCCUGUAUUAAGUGUGAAUGCUUUAAUGAUCUUUUGGUGUUUUCUGUCAGAACUAUGCUGCCUCGUAGGGAAUCACGUCGUGCUUCUGAGCCUAAUUUCCCUGACAUAACUCAAUUAGGGGAAGCGAUAGCCCAUGCCUUUCAGACUGCAAUCCAUCCUCCUCAGAGAACACCCCUGGAGACUAUGUAUAAUCUGAAAUUAGACCGCUUCAUGGGUAAUGAGGGUCUUGAAGGGGCAAAAAAGUGGUUAGACCAUAUUUAGAAGACCUUUCAGGUGAUGCAGAGUUAAAGGAAUCUUCCUACUAGUAGAUGGGUCGAGACCACUACUUGGUUUUUAGGACGAGAACCAGCAGCUUGGUGGGUAAAUCAAACUCAGUUUAUGUCACCUGAAACGGCAACUGAUUGGGAAGUAUUCAAAGAGAAUUUUAAGAAAAGAUUUGUUCCCCCGGGGUACAUUGAUCAUAAGAAACAGGAGUUCACUCAAUUGAAGCAAAAGAAUAUGUCAGCGCAUGAGCAUUACAGUAAGUUUAUAGACUUAUCCCGCUAUGAUCCUGAUACAGCUGGUAAUCAGGUAGAGAUACUUUGUCGUUUUAAGUAGGGAACUAAGAGGAAAUGGCGGACGUUUGCUAGUGUGAUUCCUUGCACCAUUUACCAUGAGUUUUCUGACAUUUUGGUUCAGAUGGAAGAUUCCGAAAAUCUUCAUAGUAAUAGUGAGGAAGAUAAAGAUAAGAAUGAUAAUCAGAAGAAAGAUGACAGAGGUAAAGGUAUCUCCACUCAGGGACCCCGUAAGACACAGAAUUUCAAGAGAAGUGGAGCGAGCUCGAGUUCUUCCAGUGGAGGAUUUAGUGUCACAGGCCUGAUGAGAGGUGGAAGAUUUACUGGUGGACCCAGGUUUUAAAGACAGAGAGACUUUGGUGGUGCUGGUGGUUCAGGUCCUCCGUUGUGCCGCCGUUGUAAUUUCAGACAUCAUGGAGAGUGUAGGAGAAGUGGUGGUAGUUGCUACACUUGUGGACAGAUGGGACAUAGAGAUGCUCAGUGUCCCUAGAGUUAGCAGAAGCCUCAGCAGUCUGCUAUGCCACCUCCAGCGCUGAUUCAACAAAACUUUGGAUUAGGCAGUUAUGGUCAGACAGGUUGUGGUGGUGCUUACCACUAUCAGGGUGAUGCUGCUCCCUAAGCUUCCAGACAGUAUCAGUAUUCUCAGGAUCCUUAUUUUCAGACUGGUAUUCCCAAGAUCCUGGAGGUUAUACUUCAUAUCCUUCCAUGCCAGCUAGUGGAUCUCAAUGGUAUCAAGGAGGUCAGCCCCGACAGGGAGAGGUUGCUGCUAGCAGUGCAGGACCAUCUAGGCAGUCUAGCCAACAGGACAGGGACGUACUUCUCAGGGGCGAGGUAAUCAACAUAAUAGAGGUAAUGGAGGAUGACAGCAAGCUCAUGGACGUGUUAAUCACAUCUUAUUGCAAGAUGCUCAAAAUCAUCCGGACUUGAUUAUGGGUACGUUAAAUAUCCUUGGUCACUUUGCUAGAGUUUUGAUUGAUUGUGAUGCUACACAUUCUAUGAUUUCUCAUACUUUUGCUCAAAUGACACAACCUCACCCUACACCUCUAGGAUUUGAUUUAGAGUUUUCUAUGCUUAGAGGGGACAAAUGUUAUGUUGAUAGUGUUUAUCUAGAGUGUCCAGUGAUGGUAAAUGGUGUAGUUAUGCCAGCUAAUCUUAUCCUGUUAGAUAUCAUGGAUUUUGAUGUGAUUUUAGGGGCAAAUUAGUUGCAUUGUAAUCGUGCCCAUAUAGAUUGUUACGGGAAAUCUGUUACUUUUCAUCGUCCUAAACUACCAGAGGUUACUUUUGUGGGUGAAAGAAGUGGGGUGAGACAGGUGUUAUUUCUGCCAUGAGAGCAAAGAAGUUGUUAUCAAAGGGUUGUCAAGGAUACUUAGCACAUGUGGUGUUAAAUGAUGUUGUUCCUAGUAGUGUGGAGGAAGUUGGAGUAGUCAGGCACUAUCCUGAUGUAUUCCCAGAUGAUUUGCCUGGAUUGCCGCCAGACAGAGAUGUGGAGUUUUCUAUUGAAUUGCUUCCAGGUACAGAUCCUAUAUCUUUGACUCCAUAUAGAAUGGCUCCAGCUGAAUUGAGAGAAUUAAAAAUUCAGUUAUAGGAAUUAACUGAUAAAGGUUUCAUUCAACCUAGUACUUCACCUUGGGGAGCUCUAGUGUUGUUUGUAAGAAAGAAAGAUGGAACUUUGAGAUUAUGUAUUGAUUACAGGCAAUUGAAUCAGGUAACGAUUAAAAACCGCUAUCCAUUGCCUCGUAUCGAUGAUUUGUUUGAUCAGCUUAAAGGUGCAUGUGUGUUCUCUAAGAUUGAUUUGAGAUUUGGCUAUUAUCAGUUGAAGAUUAAAGUUGAAGAUGUACCUAAAACGGCUUUCAGAACCCGCUAUGGACAUUAUGAGUUUUGGUGAUGCCAUUUGGACUGACUAAUGCACCAGCAGCUUUCAUGAGGUUAAUGAAUGAAGUAUUCCAGCAAUAUCUUGAUAGGUUUGUCAUUGUUUUUAUUGAUGAUAUUUUGGUAUACUCUAAGUCGAAAGCAGAUCAUAUUCCACAUCUUAACUUGGUAUUAAAGAAAUUGAAGGAACAUUGGUUGUAUGCCAAGUUUAGAAAAUGCCAGUUUUGGUUGAAUCAAGUGGCAUUUUUGGGACAUGUAGUAUCGGCACAAGGAAUUCAAGUAGAUCCUAAAAAGAUUGCAGCAGUGGAGAAUUAGGAACAGCCACGAACCGUCACUGAGGUACGGAGUUUUCUUGGUCUAGUAGGUUAUUAUCGACGGUUUGUUCAAGAUUUUUCUAUGAUUGCUUUACCACUAACGAAGCUAACCAGGAAGGAUGUUAAGUUCGAGUGGGACGAGAAUUGUGAGCAAAGUUUCCAACAGCUAAAAUAUUGCCUCACUCAUGCUUCAGUAUUGGUACUUCCUGACGAUAGUGGUAACUUUGAGAUUUACAGUGAUGUUUCCUUGAAUGGUUUGGGAUGUGUCUUGAUGCAGCAUAAUAGAGUGAUCGCCUAUACUUCUCGACAGUUGAAGAUUCAUGAAAGGAAUUAUCCUAUUCACAAUCUUGAGUUGGCAGCCAUUGUCUUUGCUUUGAAGAUUUGGAGGCAUUAUCUUUAUGGUGAGAAAUGUAAGAUCUUCACAGAUCAUAAGAGUCUUCAAUAUCUUUUUACUCAACAUGAUCUUAAUCUUCGUCAGUGAAGGUGGAUGAAGUUACUAAGUGAUUAUGACUGCACUAUUGAGUAUCAUCCGGGUCGUGCAAAUGUGGUAGCUGAUGCACUGAGUAGGAAACCUCAAGGUCGACUUAAUGCUUUGUAUGCUUGUCGUGUUCCUCUUCUUGCAGAUUUGAGAGCUACAAGAGUAAAGUUGGAGAUAGAAGAGCGAAGAAAAGCUUUUCUUGCUAGUUUCCAAGUUAUGCCAGUUUUGGUCGAUCGUGUACUUGAAGCUCAGAUGGUUGAUGAAGAGAUCCAAGAAAUGAUCCGAUUGAGAAAUGAAGGGAAAAAGAAAGACCUCAGGAUUCGAGAAUCGGAUGGCAAGCUUAUGCAAGAUAGCAUAAUGUAUGUGCCGAAUAACGAGGAAUUAGAGAAAGAAAUUUUGUAUAAAGCACAUUGUUCGGCUUAUGUGAUGCAUCCAGGAGGAACUAAGAUGUACCAUACCAUUCGACCAUUUUAUUAUUGGCCGGGUAUGAAAAGGGAAAUUGCAGAAUAUGUAAGUAGGUGUAUUAUUUGUCAAAAAGUCAAAGCAAAAAGAAAGAAGCCUUUUGGACAGAUGCAACCACUUCCCGUUCCUCAGUGGAAAUGGGAAAAUAUAACUAUGGAUUUUGUGUAUAAGCUUCCACAUACACAUAAUGGAUUUGAUGGCGUUUGGGUGGUCGUAGAUAGGCUUACCAAGUCAGCACACUUCAUUCCAGUGAGAGAAAAGUAUCCCCUGGAUAAAUUGGCUAAAUUGUUCAUCACGAAGAUUGUGAAGUAUCAUGGAGUUCCAGUGAAUAUUAUUUCUGAUCGAGAUCCAAGAUUUACUUCUAAGUUUUGGAUAGCUUUUUAGGAAGCUCUUGGUACGAAAUUGCUUUACAACACUGCUUAUCAUCCUCAAACAGAUGGACAAUCAGAAAGGACUAUUCAGACGUUAAAGGAUAUGCUGAGAUCCUCAGUGUUGCAGUUUGGUGAUUCUUGGCAUGAUCGCCUAGACUUGAUGGAAUUUGCCUACAAUAAUAGUUUUCAUUUGAACAUUGGUAUGUCACCAUUUGAGGCACUUUAUGGUAGAGCUUGUCGUAUGCCAUGGUGUUGGUCAGAGGUUGGCGAAAGAGUGCUAGAGGGCCCAGAGAUUGUGGAUGAGACUACUCAAAAUGUUCAGGCGGUUAAGUCUAACCUGAAAGCGGCCCAGGAUCGAAAAAAAAGUUUAGCAAAUAGACAUGCCACUGAUCGAGUAUAUGAUGUGGGUAAUUUGGUAUUCUUGAAAUUGUCACCUUGUAGAGGUGUAGUGCAUUUUGGAAAGAAAGGCAAGCUAAGUCCUAGGUACAUAGGACCUUAUGAGAUCACUGAAAGGAUUGGUGAAAAUGCUUACAGAUUGGAGUUGCUUCCGGAGUUAUCUAAGGUACAUAAUGUGUUUCAUGUCUCGAUGCUUCGACAUUAUGUUUCAGAUCCUUCACAUGUGAUUCCUCCUCAACCUUUGGAGAUUAAUCUGGAUUUGACGUAUGAGGAGGAACUAGUGACUAUCUUAGAUUGGAAAGACAAGGUUCUAAAGAAUAAGACAGUGAGCUUGGUAAAAGUAUUGUGGAGGAACCACUCAAUAGAAGAAGCUACUUGGAAGACAGAAGAUCGAAUGAGAGAGAUGUAUCUAAGGUUGUUUUAUGAGUAUUAGUGAAUUGAGUGUUGUAUGAAUUUCGAGGAUGAAAUUCUAUAAGGAGGGUAGAUUGUCACAGCCCGUCCCGAAAUUUCAUUUCUUGUGGAUAUGAAAUGACGGAAUUGCCCUUAAAGGUUGCUAAGGUAUGUGUGACAUGUUUAUUUGAAUAUUGCAUCCUCUCCUAAGUUCUUGCAAAAUAAAUUAAGUGGAUUAAAAUUGUUUGCAAUUGUGUGGCUAGGAACUUAGGAGGACACACACACAAAGCCAACCUCACUCUUUCUUUCCUAUCCCGUAUCUCUCCUCCCUCUCAGUUCAGUCUCUCUCUCUCUCCCUUUCAAACUUGUACGGACAAGGAACCAACCGCUCAAAAGUUCGCAGAUCGACGUCAAAAAGGUGAGUUCCUUCAUCUUUAGAACCUUCUGAGUUGAUUGGUACUGCUUUUAGAACUGGAAACCCUCGAAAUCACGUCGAAACCGUAACCCCAUUUAAUAUCACUGUUCACGAACUUUGUAAUGGUUGGUUUUUAGGACAAUCCAAGCUCACAUUGAGCUUAAGGAUGUUCCCACGAAGCUCGGGGACGUUCGUUUGGAAGUUUUGGACGUCAGGAAGCCCUAGUUCGAAGGUGGCCGGUUUUGGUGAAAUUAUCUCGACGCGUUUUCGAAGGAUUUGGAAGUUUUAAAAGGUAUAGCCUUCUUCCUCUCGUGAUUUGUGACAUUUUGGUGAAAAUUUCGUGGAAAAUGGUGCGAAAUCGAGCGAGAAAAUGGGAGUUGCAGGUUUGCCUAGUUUUCCGACGCCGGCGAGAUUUUUCGACGUCUGGAGGUAGGGGAUGACGCGGGUGGGAGCGCGUAGCACCGUGCCUAUCCCGGCGCAUGGGGGCACGUGCGGCUUUGAAAAUUUUUUCUAAAAAUAUCUCGACUCCCGUGACGUCGAGCAGGUCAUUGUGGUAUAUUCAUAUACCCAAAUUGAGCAUCAUAUGAGAAGUUAUUACGUAUUGUUGGUUAUGUGCUUUAAAAUAAUGUUUUUAUAGUUGUUUCGCAUAUAGGUGAGACCUAUCACGAGGACGAUUGCAUUCAAGGGCGUCACGGGGGUUAUGACCCUUCGACAUACCAAUGAGUGGGCAGUUAUUUUCUGUUUAUACCUAUAUACUACUGACUUUUCCAAAAAAUUGAAUUCAAAUGAAAGUAUGUUUUAAAAUGCCAUGCAUACAUAUUAUAUGAAAUAUUUGAAUUAGUAAUUGAUGCAUAUAUGUUAAAUGGUGUUGUGGACACACAUGUGAGUAUCAGGUGAGUUUUAUGUUGUUCAUGUGAUUUAUUGAUGAUGUAAUUGUGUUGAGAGCUCAUAACCUGCACCCCUGGUGUUAGUGCUUAUAUUAUUCACCUCACACCACACGCUCACUUUGGAUCCAAGUAGGUGCAUGUCGUACAGAUCAUUAGAGGUGGUUCGGACAUGUCGUACAGACCAUUAGAAGUGGUUCCGACUUGUAGGUGACAUUAGAUUAUUAUACAGUUGUUGAUGAGAGAAGCACUAGAGCGUAUUCUUACAUUAGAUUAUUAUAUAUUAAAUAUUAAAUAGGUUUUUUACCAAAAAAUAUUGUAUUAUUAUUUUAUAUAAAUUUAAAAAAUUUAAGUUUUAUUUAUUUAUUUAUUUUAAUAUUAUACUAUAGGCAAAGAAUGAGAUUAAUUUAAAAAUACCAAACACAUUGAAAAAAUUAUAAUAAUUAAUUUACAAGUGCGAAAAAUGUGAAAAAAAUAUACAAAGGCUCAUGAUCGAAUCAUCUACGCUAUGAGUAUGGGUAUAUCGUCGUUUGAAUUUUAAAACCAUACAAACCCUCAUGAAUUGUAUUUUUAAGGGAGUUCAAAAUAAAUAAAAAUCAUAAUCACUAAUGUACAAGUCUAAAAAAUGUGAAAGCAUAUAUAAACAUGCAAGGUUCGUCAACCUUAAAACGUAACUCCCUUCAUUUUGCAUAUCCUUGAACAUUUGUUAAUUUAUAGUAAUGUACUAACAUUAUUUCAUUAGGCUUUUAUUUUGGAGUAUAUAAUACUUGAAAGACAAAUGUUUUUUUUUUUAUGUUUUGAAGUAAAAUUUAUGUGACAAUGUGGUAUGCAUAUACAAAUUUAGUAUUAUGCUUUUUUUUUUUGUCAAAUUAUGUUUUUCAUUUUCAUUAUUUUUUUAUUUAAAAAUAUUUUGUUUAACAGGUAACGGGUUGGUCAUAUUACUUGCUAAUAUUAACGGGUCGAUAUCGGGUCGGAUCAUAUUAUAUGCUUAUGUUUCAUGACACGACUUGUUAAGAUAUCAAGUAUAACACAAAAACGACACAAGCACAAAAAAACACGACACAAAUGUCAGGUCUAAUUGUAACAUAGCAUUACCCCGUCACCACCAAUUGUUGUGGAGGCUUUUGGGCGUCCCCAUAAGAGUCAAUGAAGACAAUAUAGGGUGCACGAUACCUUCUAAGGCUGAUGUAUUCUUUUGCUAAAUUUUAGGGCAUAUUCCAUUUAAAAUUCUAAUUACCGAAUAGGUAUGAUCUUUCAAAUUAUGAAUUGUGUUAACCCUCAAGCUAACAAAGACCAGUAUGGUCGUGUGAGUUGGCCUUUGGUGGGCUCGGGGUUAGGAUGAUAAAAACAUAACAACAAUAUUUAAUUAGUUCACCCUUCAAAAUUGGGCUAUGUCCGCUGAGUCUUUCGUAUAUAUUGAAUAAAAGGGUUACACAUAUUGCUUGGCUUUAGACACUCUCUUUUCCCUCCCCAUUUGUCAUGCAUGUUCUAAAUGGUAUCUGUCCUACUUAUAUAAGCCCUCAAUGAGCCCCAAGUCUCUGGGCCCGAGUCUUCCAUUACCUUUGCAUUUAAUGUGCCAGGUAUGUAGACCUAACCUAGUAGAUGCCCCUCCAUUAUUUAGAAGAAACAUGGCAAUGAAGUGACAUCUAUUAUGGUCCACUUGCAUGUUUCCUUGGAACAACGGAUACUGAGCACCUUGCUCGGCCUUGGUGUUGGUGGGAAUUCACACAUGAGCACUUAACUUGUCAUCCUUUACGUCCCUUCAUAGGCAUCUAUUUUCUCUGAUAGUUGUCACGUGACCUGGAGUGGACAUCUAAGUAGGCAUGGCCCUAUGUUCUGAGGCUCUGUGCUAUAAAGUUGUCAGUAUGCCAACUUGCUUCUGCGAUCGGAAAACACUUUAUAGGGAAGCACUUGGCUUCAUAGCUAGCAAACAAGCUAGACCGCCGAGCUAUCACUUUUAGCACUCGGGAUCAUCCUUCCCAUUUCGAUUGGGCUUGGCCUUCCUUUCAUCGAGCUUCUCUUCUUUUGGGCCUUUCUUUUAGGCAUGUGUUCCUUUGAGCCUCUUUGGGUUGGAAAGGACCAUGCGUUAACAACUUUUUAAGGGUAAUCUUAAUUAGACUAAGAUUCAUGAAUUUUUUUUUAGAUUUAAAUUACAUAAUGAUUUAGGAGAAGAAUUAAAAUUAGAUUUUAAUUAGGAUUCCCUAUUUUGUAGGAAACCUAUUCCUACAAGAAAACCAAUUUAAUUAAUAGUUAAUUAAAUUAUUUAUUUAAUAAAGAUCUUAAUAUGGUUAGGAGAAUUAAAUUAAAAUUAAAAUAGGAAACCAAAUUAGGAAAUUAAAAUUUUUCCCCUCCCACUUAAUAAUUUCGGCACGCAUAGCUUUAUAGGGCUUGAGUUUCUUGGCAUACCACCUAUAUAUAUAUAUCCAACAAAUUUGCAUCGCAACUAGAGUAAAAAGGUUAAAUGGUUCAGCGAAAAGGUAUGCAACAAUUUCCUGGAGAUCUUAGGGAUUCCGUAAUCGUGAUCGUGCAUUGUACAUCGUGUGAUCAGAAAUCAUUUCAUAAUUUAAAAUUUAAAAUUUAAUAUAAAUAGUACCUAAUGAAAACUGACCGCACGAUAUACGAUGAACGAUCAUGAUCACAAGAUCCUUAAGAUCCCCAGUAAAAGGAUCCUCGGGCUUAUUGGUUCAAACUUUCAAGAUUGGCUCUGCAAUCUUCGUUAUGUCUUAACUAUUGAAAAGUUAGUGUUCCAUAUGGAUGAGGACCUCCGUAUUGACAAGUUAUCUGAUAACUCCACUCAACAUGAAAAGCAUGAGAGGAAGACUUUGUUGGAGGCCAAUGAGAUGGACAAGGAUUGUCUGCCUUCCACUUUCGAUGCCCUUCUUGUGCCCUCAUGUUUUAUGUGGUCACGGUUAAGCCACGUCCAAAGGCAGAGCCACAGUGGGGUCAAUGGGGUCGCACGACCCCUUGGAAGCCAUGGAAAUAACCUUAGAGGUCCCUUGGAGCUGCUGGUUCUACCCCUUAAAGCUGCUGGUGCAACCUCUUGGAGCUACACACCACUUGUUCGACGGAAUGUUUGAAAGAAGAAAGAAGGCAACCUUGUAGGUUGAAGAAGAAAGAGGAGGCUGCGCGGGCCUUUUUUUUUUAAAAACAACCUGGGCAAAACGCGUCAUUUUGGCCCAAGGAAUUUUUUUUAAAUGACCUGGCCAAAACGACGUCGUUUUGGGCCAGGUCUAAAAAGAAAAAAAAAGGCAGUUCUAUUCUUCUUUCACAGAUCCGACUCCCCCAUUCCAAAACCCCCAAUUUUCUUUUGUUUUCUCCUCCUCCAACCCUAAGUUCCAAACUCAAUCCCCCCACAAACCCUCAACUCCAUCUCCUCCCUUGCUGCCGCCAUUGAGGUGCUGCGCUAUGGUGGUGGUGGUGCCGUGUCAACUCUCUUUAUAUUUGCUCAUUGACUUUGUUAUUGUGAAAUUUCACAAUUCAAGUAAGUUCUAAACCCUAUGUAUAAUGUAUGAUAUAUUUAAUUUAAUUGAAACCUAAUUCAUAUUUAUUUUGAUUAUAUUGGUGAUUUGAUUACAUUGUGAGUUUUUAUUUUCAUUAUUUUGUAUAUGUAGAAUAUAUUUAAUUUAAUUGAAAUUCAAUUCAUAUUUAUUUUGAUUAUAUUGAUGGUUUGUUUAUAUUGUGAGUUUUUAUUUUCAUUAUUUUGUAUAUGUAGAAUAUCUUUAAUUUAAUUGAAAUCCAAUUCAUAUUUAUUUUGAUUAUGUUGAUGGUUUGUUUAUAUUGUGAGUUUUUAUUUUCAUUAUUUUGUAUAUGUAGAAUAUAUUUAAUUUAAUUGAAAUCCAAUUCAUAUUUAUUUUGAUUAUGUUGAUGGUUUGUGUAAAUUGUGAGUUUUUAUUUUCAUUAUUUUGUAUAUGUAGAAUAUAUUUAAUUUAAUUGAAAUCCAAUUCAUAUUUAUUUUGAUUAUGUUGAUGGUUUGUUUAUAUUGUGAGUAUUUAUUUUGAAUAUUUUGUAUAUGUAGAAUUAUUAUGGAACGGUUUUUUAAGAGAAAGUCAUCAUCGGGUUCGGGUAGUUCGAAUAAUGUUGAUAGUUCAAAUACUGUUGGUAGUUCAAGAACUCCAAGUUCAAGACAAAGUCAGUUAGAUGAUGUUUUGGGUAAUCUUCAAGCGGAUCCUGGAUUAAGAAUUCAAAUGAUAGAUUAUGAUGCUAAUAUGAGAGAUGAGGUACGAAGAUCAUAUCUACUUGUCAUAAAAGUGCUCGUCUAUGAGAUCGAGUUCACUGGACAUUGACCAACCAUAAAAGUCUAUGAAUAGAAGACUACCUACUUGUCAAAUAUACCACACUUCUACGUUAUAUGGAUACUGCUACUACUUAGACCAAAGGCAUCACUAGUUAUGUCGUUUUAAUAAAUUUGAUCUUUAGUCUCACCUAGAAGCUCUCAAACAAUAAUGGAGCCCUAUAGAGUGAGGUUUCAAACAUGUGUAUUAACAUGGAGAUACAUGAAUGCACAAAUAGGAAUUUGUCACAUUCUAGGUAUCAUGAAGGUUGAUAUAUUUUCUAGUAGCCCAUUGACGAUCUAUCUCCAGAAGUAGUUUUUGGCCAAAGCAACAUACAUGAGAUGCAUCAUGGUGACCAUAUUCAUGCUUAGAGUUUUGAUAAAUAUUUCAUGCUCUAAAAUAUAUGAUCGGAAUAUAGUAGACUUCAAACAUUUCUAACUAAUCUGGGCAACCAAAAGCCAUUAGUAGAUGUUACCAUUCAGCUUGUGGAUAUUCCUACAAGCUUGAAUUAGAAUGAUUUCUAACUAUGUAAAAUUUGACUAAUCCAAUUAUCCACUGUCAGCAUUAGUUGGAAUCUACAAGGUCACACACAAUACAAUGAUAUCGAAGGAUAAAAUUGGUGAAGGCUGAAUUUAAUAUAAAUUGUUUAUGUUAAUUUGUUUUUCAUUUAUAUUUGAUUAAUUGAUUUGGGCCUUCUAUUUACUGUAAGUUAUUUGAACUAAAGUAAAUAAGGAAGUCCAGUCCGAAAUAAAAGACCAGAUUAACGAAAUAAAAAAAUAUGAGCAAACCGGGUAAAACCCAGUAACAAAGAGGGUGUGUGGCAAGCCCAAAUUUUGUUUUCUAAGACAUACGACACACAAGCGGUAAAGAAUUAAAUUGUAAUAUUACUGGCUUAUGAAAUUAUUCUAUUUAUAUGCCUAAAAUAUGGUAAGUGCAAACAAAAUAAAGGAAAGGAGAAAAAAAAAAAAAGGGCAUCAUUUUAAGAUACAAGUACAGCAAUAAUAUUGUAUUUCUGCAGAAAAUACAAUAAAGUCACAAUGAAUGAAAAAAAUGAAAAAAUAACAAAUCAAGAAUUCAAACUGAUCACGCAAGUCUGAUCAUUUGCACUGCAAACUUUUAAGCGUCUUUGAUGACAAAUCAAAUGCAAUGGUGCAGUCCAUGGUGGAAGACUUCUUCUUCUUCAUUAUAAACAUAAGUUCAACCUUUCCAGUCAACUUAGCCGCGCUGUUGAGGGUCAACACCCCACUGCUCAAUUCACUGCCAAGAUUGGAACUGCUCAAUGCACUUGAACUCAAGCUCACCUCGACGUCAAUUUUUUUGGUGGAAAGCAUUCCAGCCUUGCUCUUUGGAAUAGAAACUUGCCCGACAGUCGCACCUUGGUACAAAAACGUGACAAUGGCUGCAUCAAACUUGUAUGGACCAAAAUUUGUGUUCUUUACUCUGAUUUGGGUGGUGAAUUUGGUGUCGAAUGAAGGCGAUGCCGGGACGGAGUUGAGCUCUUGGACGUUGAUGUUGCCUAGCCUGACUUUUGGGGUUUUAACUUUCAUGACAGUGAGACUCAUUGCCGUUAUGACCAUGAUCUGAAACAGAACGAAAAUACCAAUGUAAAUGGCUAACUUGAUU
rnacentral:lncRNA from 1 species